rnacentral:lncRNA from 1 species
CACAAUUUCCUCUCAGGCGAGUUGCUUCGUGGAAUCCAAUCGUGGAAGAAGCUCAGCGAGCUGAACCUCGCUGACAACGAGUUCACCGGCCGCAUACCUCCGGAGCUCGGCGACCUCCCAGUGCUCAACUACCUUGACCUCUCCGGCAAUCUGCUCACCGGCGACAUACCCCUGCAGUUGCAGAACUUAAAGCUCAACGAGUUCAACCUAUCAAACAAUGAUCUCUCGGGCCCUCUUCCACCUCUUUUCGCACGCGACAUCUACCGGGACAGCUUCCUGGGCAAUCCGGGAUUGUGCCACGAGUUCUCGGGCUUGUGCCCUGUUUCACGUGGCACUGGGGAUCGUCACGGCUUCAUCUGGUUGCUCCGCUCGAUCUUCAUGCUGGCUACGUUGGUCUUUGUCGUCGGAGUUGCGUGGUUCUUUUGGCGGUAUCGGAAGUACAAGAAGGCGCAGCUGACACCAGACAAGUCCAAAUGGACGUUGACCUCGUUCCACAAGCUCGGAUUCAGCGAGUACGAGAUCCUGGAUUGCCUCGACGAAGACAAUGUGAUUGGGAGUGGCGGCUCAGGGAAGGUCUACAAGGCGGUGCUAAGCAACGGAGAGAUGGUCGCGGUGAAGAAGCUAUGGGGCACAUCGAAGAAGGACGUCGAGAACGCGAACCAGUCCGUGGACGAUGGUUUCGCGGCGGAGGUCGCGACGUUGGGGAAGAUUAGGCACAAGAACAUCGUGAAGCUGUGGUGUUGCUGCACUCACAAGGACUGCAAGCUUCUGGUGUACGAGUUCAUGCCGAAUGGGAGCUUGGGAGACCUGUUGCACAGCAACAAAGGAGCACUCUUGGACUGGCCGACGAGGUACAAGAUUGCGCUCGAUGCGGCGGAGGGGCUCAGCUAUCUACACCACGACUGCAUGCCGCCGAUCGUGCACAGAGAUGUGAAGUCCAACAACAUCCUGUUGGAUGGUGAAUACGGUGCCAAAGUAGCAGACUUCGGGGUGGCGAAAACUGUGGAGAUGAUGGGGAAGGGACCCAAAUCCAUGUCCGUGAUCGCUGGUUCAUGCGGAUACAUCGCGCCAGGUUUCCCCUCUUCUCAUUCUUCUCCUCAUCAGCGAUGACCUUUGUAGUCGAUGCAUUCGAUUCACUUCCAUGCUGCAGAGUACGCGUACACUCUGCGGGUGAACGAGAAGAGUGACAUCUACAGCUUCGGCGUGGUGAUCCUGGAGCUUGUGACGGGGAAGUUCCCGGUCGAUCCAGAGUUCGGGGAGAAGGACUUGGUGAAGUGGGUGACCUGCGCAAUGGAGCAGAAUGGGGUGGACCAUGUGAUUGACCCAAAGCUUGAUGUGCGCCAGCACAGGGAGGAGAUCAACAAGGCGCUCAGCAUCGGGCUUCUCUGCACCAGCUCUCUUCCGAUCAACCGCCCGUCGAUGAGGAGGGUGGUGAAGAUGCUCCAAGAAGUGAGAGCAGAGAACAAGACCCAGAUCGAGACAAAGGAUGGGAAGCUCUCUCCUUACUACCGUGAAGAAGUGGAUCCCAACUCUUCGGUGUAGGAGCUUCAGCAUCUGGUGAGACGAGAGUGUGACUGUAAAUGGAUGGAUCGUCAGUGUGGUCUUAUCUACAACAUGAAUGAAGUGUCAACCAACUGAAUGCUACCGUAUGUUCUACCCUGACACUAAACAUUGCAAGGGUUAUGGCUCGGUGUUCUUCGUCUUCUUCCACCAGAGAGCUGCAGAGAUGUGAGGACGGGCCUACAUAGCGACUUUGAUCUCGUGAGUUAUACUGCAUCUGAUGCCCACAAAUUAUGCAUCAGAUCCAAUGCGACAUCAAACUUGUGCUUUUGAUGCCUGCAUCCUUGCGCAAACAAACAAGGACGGAUAUGAUAGUUGGCAGGAGAAUCCACAAGAUGAUGUCGAUCAUAAGGUUCUUAAGAUCCAAGAAAGUCGUAGCUUGUUGACAGCCAGGUGUGAUAGAGGAGAUAAGAACGAUGGUUGAUGCCCCAAAGCAAAGUAGAAGCGACGCGACGGCAUUGACAUGUUGUGUACAUCGUUGACAUUGACUCGAUCUCUGCCUCCCAAUAACAUAGCUUGCUUGUGCCGGUCGACCGUUUUCCCUUGGUAAUCACUGGAACUCCGAAUUACGGAAAUACUUCUAUCAGCCAGCUUUCACGUUAUCACCCCCCAAAGCACCGAGCUUCUCUAAUGGCGACUUUAGGGUUUGUGCUGAGAAUCCAUAUUCUUCUUGUCUGCUCAUUCAGAAAGUCAACGACUUAACCAAAAAAAAAAAACUCACGAUACUUCCCAUGUGAUGAUUCUUAGAUUAUUAUACAUCUUGCAUGAAUCGUGGAGGUAAGAAUUGUUAGACAACAGAUAUGCUGUGACCGGUGAGUCAGCACGGCUAGGUCCACGGGUCGAUGUCGGGAGCUUUCUGCAGGGUGAUUCGGAUGAUGAGGUAUCCGAGCUCUCGAGAAGGAUUGUUGGUUGGCGAUGGUCGAGAUCAGGGUUGAUCGGUGACUCCUUGGUGUCGGGCGAAUCAUGCUUCCGUGCCGAGUCCCUCACCGUCGAUGAGUGGUCGUCCUCCUGCGAAAAUGGUCUCCAUCGGUUGGUACCCGGCCGUGGCCCCUCCGACGAGCAAGUUAGUAACGAUAGGGAUUACUUUUUUCCUUCUUUUUUUCUUCUUUCCUUCUGGUCGGAGGCUGGCAAGGGGUUUUAUAUUGUGACGAGAGGGCUGAGGGUGCAUUGAUUUGGCGUCGUCACUGGCCCCGGAGGGAUGAGACGACCUUUCUGACUGGCCGUCACAUCGGGGCGUGCAGUGCGGUGUCAGACAGUAUUGCCCUGAACUCUCAGGAUGGGAUGUGUGACGUAGGGCUCUGACUUGACGUCUGUGUCGAUAGUGAUAUGUUCAGACUACCAAAAUAUACCGUAUCAAAAAUGACUAAAAUUAUAUGAAAAAUGACCUCUAAGAUGAGAACAUGCUCUAGUUUCUUAUUUGACUUUGAAUGAAUUCUGUGAUUUUUCUUCUGGUCAAACACUCCUUGCAGAGGCUUAGCUAGUUUGAAUUUUCUUCUCCAAAUAUUUAUUUCUAGGUUUGUAUUUCUUGCUGGGAUCUUAAGCAUGUCCAUGAGCGUCCGAUGCUACAAGAUUAGAAAUCAGAACCCACUCACAUAUGUCCAACGAAUCAAAUCUCCUAACACUGCCACUCCUUAAUAUCUUGAAUUUUCUGACACGAUUACACGCAAUAGAUUCACCUCCACAAGCAACAACGUAAGACAGCUUCCGGCCGAUAAGGCCGCCUACGUUUCUAUCUCAUCAUCUACAGAUCAGUUUGACCAUAAGCAGGAAAUGAAGAAGAAGAGGAGGAAGAAGCAGAGUAAUGAAGGAAUUGGAAGGCGCACAUGAACAGAAUGGGGGGUCUUUAAAUAUGUGGGAGUAUUCCAAUGACAUCGACAGAUCGAGAUGACGAACCAGGAAGCUUCUCUCGAGGCCACACCUACCUGGGCUGUCGCUGGCGUUUGCUCCAUUUUGAUCUUUCUGGCUCUCAUCAUCGAACGCUCUCUUCACCGGUUAACUCUGGUCAGCCAUCUCUCUCGUGCAUUCCUUUUUUUUUUUGUCUUCUUUGUUACAUUUCAUGGCUGAUCAUACGGACGGUGGUGCCUUCAUCAGUUACUUGAGAGAAGAAAGAGGAAGACGCUUAACCAGGCUCUCAACCAUGUCAAAGCAGGUGAGUGAAGAAUGUGGCUCGAGUACUGGAGGAUUGAUUCUUGGUUAUUACCUCGAUUGCCUCUUAUAUGAUCUACGUCUUCUUGGCUGCGUGUUAUCAUCAGAACUGAGGAAUCUGGGGUUCAUGUCCUUGCUGUUGACUGUUGCUAAACAACCCAUCUCAAAGAUCUGCAUACCAGCGAGCCUGGGAGACUCCUUUCUUCCAUGCAAGGAUGCUGCACCGCCAGGCAGAUUCGUUGAGGAGCAAUCUUGCCAAGAGAAGGUACGGAAUGAGUUUGAUUAAUUGCCUCUAUGGGCUCCGCAGAGCAGAUAAUAUCUGUACAUAUGUUCAUGUAAAUGAUCAAAGUCUUCCCCAUUUUGCAGGGAAAAGUAUCUCUGGUUUCAUCAGUAGGGACUCAGCAACUGCAGAUAUUGAUCAUUGUGCUGGCCGUGUUUCAUAUCCUCUCUUGCCUUGUAACCUUGGUUCUUGGGGAGGUUAAGGUACUCUUCCUGUUCAUAUACUGAGCAAAUGACUUGUAGAACAGUAGCAACUAAUAUGAUUGACAGUAUGAUGUUAAGUCAUUCCACAAAGAAUUUGCUUAGAAGCAGAAAUCAUUUCCACAAAAAAUGUACGGGAAAGCAAAUCAUAAGCAGCAAGUUAGAGUCAUACUGUUUGUCUGAUCAUUUUUUUCUUGUAUUGUUCAGAUGAAGAGGUGGAAGGCAUGGGAAGAAGAAACCAGCACUCUGGAGUAUCAGUUAUCAAAUGGUAAUUUUCGCUAUUCUUCUCCGAAACACUCGUUUUCAGUAUCCACUUUUCUGAUUAUACAACAUGAAAAAUUACUUUGACUUCAAUGAAUGGUAGAAUUUUGGGAUUGGCUUUAUGCUUGAAUCAGGUGUGGCUUGUGGGGAUUAGUCUUCCUUGUGUUCAAUGUUCUGUCACUGAUACUAAUUUUGAGAGGGAUGCAGAUCCUCGAAGGUUUAAGCUGACACGGCAAACAUCAUUUGGAGAACGGCAUUUGAAGAUCUGGAGUAAUCACCAUUUAUUUGUUUGGAUUGUAAGUUAGAUCCCUAAUGCUAUGCCUUCAAAUGUAGUUCCAUAAACUGACUUGGUGCCCCUUUUUGUAGGUCUGCUUUUUCCGACAAUUCACUGAUUCGGUCUCGAAAGCUGAUUAUUUUUCUCUUCGGCGUGGAUUUGUUGCGGUAAGGCAUAAUUAUACGCAAGCCAUAUUGGCAUAUGGGAAAUACUAAUUCAACUGAUACUAUAAGUUUGGCUUGAUGGACAGGUUCAUUUAUCUCAAGACUCCAAGUUCGACUUCCGAAAGUUUCUGCAGAGAUCACUGGAUAAAGACUUUGCGGUGGUUGUUAGCAUCAGGUCUUGAUCUGAAACAAAAUUCUCUAUGCUUACUAAAUCCAUCAACAUGUUACUAGAUCACAUCUUUUCUACCAUUUUCAUCUGGCUGCAGCUUCUGGAUAUGGAUGUGUGCUGUGUUCUUCAUUUUCUUCAAUGCCUACGGUAAUGCAACAUCAUCAAUGUUUUCUAUGUUUGUCGGCACAAACUUAAUUAGAUUAGAGUUGCACACUACUCUGCUUUCUGAAAUCAUCUACUUGUUCAUAUUUCUUCUACAUACAGGAUUUUAUAGCCACUACUGGCUUCCCUUCGUUCCUCUAGUGGUAUGCCCCUUACAUUUUCGAAACUUGGUGUAUUGAGUCACAAGCCAAGAACUAUGAUAGGGAAAAAAAUGUUCUUCUUGUUGCAGAUUCUUUUGGUUAUAGGAACAAAGCUAGAGGUCAUCAUAACAACAAUGUGCUUAAAGAGCAGUAAUCAGGCAAUUGUUGUUCCAGGGACAAUAAGCGUGGAACUCGAAAACAGCAACUUCUGGUUUGCUCAACCUCGAUUGCUGCUUCACCUGGUGCAGUUCAUCUUAUUCCAGGUGAGGUCACUCUGUAUCUUGCAAGUGAAUCAGCUUCCUUUGAGUUAACAGAGCAAGUUGCUUCAGAGGAAUACUCUGCCUUGUGAAGAUUAUACAACAAAGAUUUCUCUCACUUCUCCAAAUUCACAUGUUACUAAUGACAAAGAAAAAAAGAGGAAGAGAUGCAUUUCAUCCAUUAAUAAAGUAUACAUAUAUACCAAUGAGCACUUGUCUACAGAUCUUAUUGUAGCUACCUUUGUGCAUUGCAGAACUCCUUUCAGCUUGCUUUCUUCACAUGGGCAUGGGUGGGUAUAUCAUGAUCAAUCCUGACAACUUCCAUCACUCGAGAUCUCAAGCUGACAUGCUCAUGCUGCAGUACAACUUUGGGGUCCGGUCAUGCUUCGACAGAGAGGUGGCGGACAUCAUCUUAAGCUUCGGGACAGGCGUUCUGGUGCAGUUCUUAUGCGCUUACGUUACGCUUCCACUCUAUGCCUUGGUCACUCAGGUAGGCCAUGCCGAAAGCUCAAGGCUCGAUCCUAUCACGCUCGGCUGUUCAUUGUUCGAAUCACUUCUCUUCAGAUGGGUUCUUCAAUGAAGGAAACCAUCUUCGCCGACGAGGUUAUGGAGGGCCUGAAGAGCUGGAAGAAGAGAGCAAGGAAGAACCUGGCAAACCAGAGAUCGGUGCCUUCCGGUACCUUUCUACCGCGGCCGUAUACUCGGCUAACGGAUGAAGCUUCUUCUUCCUGUGGUCGCACACCGAGAAAGCGAGAGUUCAGGUACCCUUCACGGAGGCUGGAACUACUGGAAGUCCAGAGAGUGGUGGAGGAGGUCAUUCAGCACGGUGCCAACAACAUGCCCAGUGACGGCGAGGUCUCUUUUGGGCUGUGGAGACGACCAAUGAAUUAAAUGGUCAACAUCCAAAUCUUCCCAUGAAGGGAGCAACAUCUCCCAGAGGAAGUUGUAUUUGUGGUCACUGCCUUGGAUUAACAGACUGAUAUGAACCGGUGAAAUAGGACAAUUCAACAGUAAUAACAUAUAACAGAGUCCACAUGAGUCUCCAUCUUCGUCCUGCCAUGAAGAGGACUGAUGACCAAAGCCAGACUGUCUCAAGACCCCAAUAAUGCUCCAAGUCCAUAGUACUCAUCAUUAAACGGGAGCUCAGAUGGAAAGAACGGCGUCUCUACAACGAGAAAGAAGCUCAUGUUUGCGAUUAAGCUGGUGAAAUGUCUCCUCAGAGGAUUGUUAUUGCUGGUGAAGCAGUGUCUUCUUCCUGCGCCAGAUGGAAUGCAUGUGGAAGAUGGGUACUCACUGAAAGGGGAUAUUCUACCUAAUGGCAGUCUCAUGCAAGCCUGUGUCGAUUCGAAGCAUCAACUGGUAACUGGGAAACAACCAGAGUUAAAGCAUCCUUUUUUGCUAUCCUACAGUGAUUGGAGUAGGGCAGAUGCAGCACUCGGUGGGUAAGCUGUCACAGCAGGACCAUUAUUGCUCUCAUGUCUGGCCUUCCUGAUCUGUAAGAAGAGUGCAGAGGGCCAUGGCGUGAAAUAUAUGAAUGGAAGGAGGUGAGGUGAGGUGAGCUUUAUGUUCCACACAAGGUUCCUGAUAGGCCUCACUCGCCAACUCCGGUGGCCAGCUCAUUCCAACCUUCUUUUCCCUCACUCCACUACAAAGCGCACCCCCCACCUCACCUCUCUCCCUCUCUGUCAUCACCUCCCAUCGAGCCAUCGACACCAUCCAUCCCCAAUGGCCUCCUCACCCAUGCUCAUUGGCCUGACCACAUUUCUCCUCCUCACCGCGUCCGCCCUCUUCGACCAAGCCGAGUCCAAGGUGGCUCCCGGUCCUAAGCCGGCGCCGCUCAACCUCACCGGCAUUCUCGAGAAGGGCGGGCAGUACGGCACCUUCCUUCGCUUGCUGAGAGAGACGCAGGUAGGGGAGCAGAUCGAGAGCCAGCUGAACAACUCCUUCAAUGGCCUCACCAUCUUCGUCCCCACCGACAAUGCCUUCAGCAACCUGAAAGCCGGCACGCUCAACAGCCUGACGACCCAAGAGCAGGUGUCGCUGGUCCUCUACCACGUCCUCCCGAGGUACUACAGCCCAACCACCUUCGAGACCACGAGCAACCCGGUGAACACGCAGGCAUCGGGGAGGAGCGGCGUCUACACCGUCAACAUCACCAGCACCAGCAACCAGGUGAACGUGUCCACCGGGGUCAACGAGACGCCCAUCAACACCAACCUCUACUUGGAAUUCCCGUUGGCGGUGUUCUCGGUGGACAAGGUGUUGCUGCCCGCCGAGCUCUUCGGGGCUAAACCUCCCGCGUCAUCACCGUCUCCGGCGGCGACUCCGGUGAAGCCUAAGAAGAGUGCUCCGGCAGCUGACGGGCCUUCCGCGAGCGCCGACACAGCGCCUUCUGCGGCUACUCGCAAGGGAAGGAGCGUGGAACGGGUCCUGCUUCUGGGGAUCGGGUUGGCGUGCGUUGGGAGUCUUCUCUAGGGAGUCCAUUGACUGCAUGGGACUGUGACUGCGUCGUUGAUCUCUUGGGUGUCUGGUUUGCCGUUGUCAGUAAAUUCCUGCAUGCAUUUGUACCUUUUAUUUCUACCAUUCAUGAGUUAUUUUAUUUGCUCUGUUCAAAAAUAAUAUUUUCAUCAUCACUUAUGCAAUAAUGACAUUUUUGGAUCAAUAAUCACAACCUCAUAACUUAUUAUGAUAUCUUAAUUACAAUAUCAAUUGGAUGAUUAAAAGCUUAAACUGUUUGGAAAGUGUCCCAUCUAUAUUAAAUUCCAAAAACGGACAAUUAAUUUCAAUCUCUCCACUUUUUUGCCUUUCCCCUGUUCCGCUGCAACCACCAUUCACAAGGACGGAGAGGCCGCAACUGCUGUCCUCUCCGGCGUCCCACCGACCACGGCAUUAAUUAGUGCAUGGCCCACGAACACGUCGUCUCUCUCUUGGUGGAUUACCGAUCACCGGCCCAACGCACGACCCUCUCGCGCAGAUCUCUCCAUACAUUAGAAAGCAUAAUGUAUCUGUGGCGUGGACGGCAAUCAUUGAUGCAGACCUGAGGUCCCGUCCAUGACGAUCACUGCUCCUGGUCCUACUCUCCCCUUCUCCUCUCGAUGCUGCCCUCUCCCACACCAAGUUUGAGAAUGAUGAAUGCAUACAUAAGCGAAGGGCCUGUGGGCUGAUAUAUUGCAUUUAACCUCAAUAAUACUGAUCUCUCUCUCUCUCUCUCUCUCUCUCUCUCUCUUUUCCCUGACUGAAUAGUGUGUUGGACUUAGGAUGAUAGAAAAGGGAUAAAGGCUUUUCUGGCAUCUUUGCAGAAAUUGAAGGUGCUGAUAUCCACACGUCCAGCGGCUUUGAAAUAUAUUCUGCUGUCAACAUAACCAUGCAAGGAAACAGACAUGCCAUUGGUGACAAGAUCUCUCUUUUCCCCAAGGCUUACUUCCUCCUCGUUUUACUCUUUCUUUUCUCCUCCGACUCCUCUUACAUAUUUGAGACGGAGCAGUACUUUUUAUUGUGGCGCCCUGCAGAGGAAUCUCAUGUCGGAAAGGAUGUGGAAAGUGGUCGCCAUGCCUUGGGCAAGGAGAGAAUAUCCAAGGGCUUUACAAGACUUCAAAUGCUAACCUCCAAAUGCUUUGGAGUAAACAAAGAUCCCAACCAUGGAUAUCACAUGAAAGACCUGUUUGAUUGUAGUUAAUCCAUGCACUGCAGUCAGCCCGGAGGCAACGCAUCAGAGCUUAGGCUUUUUUCUAGCUGAUGUCUCCUUCCACAAGAAGAAUCAAAUCAAUGGAAAUGGAGAUGUCAUGUGCAUUCCGAGUCAUCUACACUGACGCAAAUUAUAAGCAUCCAAUAGCACGCACCAUGCAACACGAUCAAUCAAAACAGUGGAUAAAUUCCCACAAUGCUUUCCUGUACAUCGUCCCGAACAGGGUUUCAUGUGUCUUCGGUACAAAGCAACACCGACGAACUGAAAGGAUGGAUACAAGUGUGGAAAGAGAUGGAGUUCAGAGAUCUGGAAAGAGUCGAUAAGCUUGCAUGGCAUUAUUCAUGGACAAGUAUUCCUUCUCUGUCGUAUACGUCGUCGCAUGGCUAUGGAGUUCCUACAGCAUCCAUGGUGGUAGCACGUGCAUGAGUAGUCCUAAGGAAUCAUAGGACGGAGACUGCACCGAUGUUAAGUCUAAUGAGGAUUUGGUCUGUGUGAAACCGUGUAAUUAGUCCCUUAAUUCAUGCCUUGGACCUCGGAAACACACAUCGAGCUGUCUGGUACGCCACUCAUACAAUAAGCUUACCUCUUAGAAAUGAGUGUCACCCGAAGGAACGAGAGAGAGGGUUUGUGUUAGAUACAUCGGCCAAAGUCUUCUUCUCAACGUUUACUAUCCAUAAAUAGGAGUAGGAAAGUUGGCAAUUGUCUUUAGGGAAGCAGAAGGAGAAGAAAUGGCCGGAGAAGCAGUUUCAAAGGCCUCCCAACCACUAAAUCCAUGUCCUGAUCCCAAUCUUCCUCCUGUGGUCAAGAAAAAGAGAAACCUCCCAGGAACACCAGGCAAGCAUCCAUGACUAACACAUUGGAAUGGAGCCUCUCUCCUCUCUUCUCUCUUCGAUGGUAGUUUCAGCUUGACUAAGCUCUUUGUAUCAACAGAUCCUGAAGCAGAGGUGAUUGCGCUCUCCCCGGGAACCCUCUUGGCCACCAAUCGAUUCCUGUGUGAGAUCUGUGGCAAAGGCUUCCAGCGAGACCAAAACCUGCAGCUCCACAGGCGAGGCCACAACCUACCAUGGAAGCUGAAGCAGAGGAGCGGCAAGGAGCCGAGGAAGCGGGUGUACGUGUGCCCGGAGGAGAGCUGCAUCCACCAUAACCCCGCGCGGGCGCUUGGUGAUCUCACGGGCAUCAAGAAGCACUUCUGCCGCAAGCAUGGCGAGAAGAAGUGGAAGUGCGACAAGUGCUCCAAGCGGUACGCCGUGCAGUCCGACUGGAAGGCCCACUCUAAGACUUGCGGCACGCGAGAGUAUCGCUGCGACUGCGGCGUCCUUUUCUCCAGGUAUAUUAAUUGCCUCAUCUUUUGCUACGCGUUUGGAUUGAUCUAAAGGCUGUUCGCCGAAGAGGAAAUCCAAUUGGAUUAAUUGGAAGUUUGUCUCGAUGAACAGGAGAGACAGCUUCAUAACCCAUAGGGCUUUCUGUGAUGCUCUGGCUGAAGAAACCGCAAGAGUUUCAGCAGCAUACACCAUGACGAACACGACGUCGAUCGGCAGUGUCGAUUCUCUUCUUCAAGAUGGUGCAAUGACACCCAACAUAUGGAAACAUCUUUCGCCAAAUCUUAAGCCAAACAUUAUGGAUCGUGAGGUUGGUCAGCAGGAUAGACACGGGUGUUCAUCGUGGAUGGGCCAUGGAGGUCAGCUCGAUAAUGCCUUUGAUGGAACUACUGCUAUGUCUGAGAUCAACCAAGCUGGGUUGGUCGACAGUCAAUUGAGUUGGAUCCAUUUCAACAAGUUGUCGUCAUUGCCAACUUCAAACACUUUGAAGCCUCUCACGGGAAGCGUUCCUUCCUUGUUUACUUCGCUGCCUCACCGUCCUGCUCCCGAUAUAUCUGCCACGGCAUUGCUGCAAAAGGCUGCACAAGUCGGCGCGAUCUCCACCACCCCAUUCUCGGGGAGCUUUGGGCUGCCCGAGUGCCAGAACACAAGCGCCGGUGACGGCAGCGUCUUUGAUGGCUUGCUCAUUCAUGAAUUCGCUGCGUCGAACACGGACGAGGUAAAUUACAUCACAAGGAGCCGCAGCAUGCUAAGAGAUUGUCUUGGAGGAGAGACCCGGGACUUCUUAGGAGUCGGGGUGCAGACUCUUUGUCAGCCAUCAGCAAAUGGAUGGAUCUGAGCCUGCUCGAGGGUGGACGGCAACAAGAAAGAGAUGACGGGGAGGAGACAGGUGGUGAUUGAGUAGUACUGCUUGCUCUACGGGAAGACGAAGUCAUCCGAAAGUAGCAGCUGCUCCUUGAAACGGCUGCUUUUGUUUGGAGAAGAAAGGUGGGAGUGUUGGGAGACGAGGAACACCUUCCCCUUCAUUUCCAUUACUGCACUAAGCUUCAUUUCUUUCAAGGUUGUCUUUAAUGUAAGCUGGAAUUAAGUGCUUCUAGUGGCACAAUGCAUGAAUUUUUCUUUCUAAAUAUAUUUUUUUUGACAAGUCCAAAAAUGGCACAAAGUUGUCUUGGCAAGUCCAAUUAAUUUAUUUUGCAUUAUAAUUACAAAUCAAGAAAAAUAAAAUAUAUAAAAUUAGAGUAGGAAUUAAUAUAGGAAUAUUUCUUCAUAUUUUUUCCAUCAUAUUUUUGCACCACCUUUUUUUAAACAUUUCAUAUUUCUUCUUUCAUUACUUUUUAUUAAUUAUUUUGAGAAGAAAAAAAGAUGUAGGAAAACUAAACCAGAUUUCUAUUCGGGAUCCUCUCCAAUUCAAACAGAGGAUCGUCCUGUUCAAUUGGUCUCAUCAUCACUCUUCGUCCUUCCACUUUCACAUCCUAUCCAUCCAUUUAUCGCAUAGGGAACGUGGCCGGACGGUUUGGUGGAGACGAUCCCUCCCUCACCUGCAGGCCGUCUCUUUAUGUGCUACAGCGUGAUAAUAAUGAGAAGAAAUAUAACAAGCAGGUGGCCGCCGAAACAAUCAAGAAAAGCCCGACCUUGCGGAGAAACCCGCUCGAUCUUUUCUCCUCGCUUGAAUUCUCCGGAACUCCCAAGAAUCCGGCCGCGUCGAGACCGGACGAGGACGAUGGCCUGCAAACCCAUCGCCAACAGGCUCGGGAAGGAGGCGGGCAUCCACCCCGAGGUUCCGCCGCUUCAUCGUUACCCUCGAUCAGGUCUUCGAAUCUCUUCCCCGUUCUUCCCCCAGUUUUCGAUUCCUCCGACUAGGGCUUCUAAAUCACCUUGACUUCGUUAUGUUAUUAUGUUCGUGUUCUAUUUCUUUGGUUGUUAAAUCAUCCUGAAACGUAUGACUUGAAACUUCGUCCAUCAAUCUAGAGAGCAAUCGUUGGAACUAGAAAUUGUGACUGAGGUUUGCUGUUUUAAUACGUUAUUCUAUAGUCGAGAGUGCUGUGCAUGAACUGUGCCAUCUAACUAUGUGUAUAAGCGAGGGAUCGAAAUAUGUUGUGCGUAAACUGGGCGGAUCAACUUAUGGAUGAAAGGAAGAAAGGUGUCAUCUUCCUGCUCGCUAGCAUUUCCAAUUGUUACUUGAAUUAGUAACUUAUGAUUGAGAAUUUUGACCUAGAAAUAAUCCAAAUCAUUAAGGUAGUUAAGACAAUGUCUUUUUUUUUCUUUUAACUAAAGAAUGGGAAGAUAGGAGACUCAGAAUUAUGGUUUUCAAAUGAUGAUAAGAAACCUAGACAUUGAGAGGUAAGUGCAUAAAUGCCUGGCCAUUGUGUUUGUAUCUGUUGCAUCAUUUUUUGCUGCUGAUCGGAUUACCCAAUUGAUCGAAAGUAAAGGAAUUUUAACAUGUGCACUCUUGAAUGCCGAAAGAUUAUGAACCAACUGGGAACAACCAUUUUAUUGCAUUAUUCUAGAUAUAUUGAUCUUGGUCAAACUUUGAUAGUCCCUCAAAAUUUUGGUCUCAAGUGUGGACAUGUAGGUAUAUGAUCUUUGAAUGGAUAGAACGCUAAUCUGCUGAGGCUCGUACAAAUUUGAUAGGAUUCAGUCUAAUUACCUAAUUACUGAGACUUAUUUUUCCUCAAGACCAGGAGAGAUACCAAUCGUUCUAGACUAUUACUUUAAUAUAACCGGUAAUUUAUAGAACCAAUGUAGACAGUCCAGAAGUAUUUUUUUAAUUACCUAAUUACUGAGACUUAUUUUUCCUCAAGACCAGGAGAGAUACCAAUCGUUCUAGACUAUUACUUUAAUAUAACCGGUAAUUUAUAGAACCAAUGUAGACAGUCCAGAAGUAUUUUUUUAAUUGUGUAACAGUAAUAUAUUGUUGGGUCUUUUUAGUCUGAGAUAUGCAAGUCUAUGUGAAGUUCAUCGCCAUUGGUUCCAAUAGAUGUGCUUUGAGAGUAGAGGUAGGACUUCCAACAGAAAGAAAUACAUUGGCAAAUACAAGGUGUAAUUAUAGAUUACCCCCUAUAGUUAACUAUGAUUAAUUGAUGGGCGAGCAAUUUGGAAAGAACAGGAGAAGAGAAAAUCAGUAAAGUUUAUAUAAAAUUAAUAAUUUAAAAGAUAAUGAAAUUAUUUUUUUAUCCUUUCCGUUCGUGUUUUUUCGCAAGUGACAACACGUGCGAUUUUUUCCAUCGACGAAGUUAACGACGUAAGGAGAAUUGAAGUUAAAUAUUUCACCUUCGUAAGUGUAGGGAUCCCAAUGCUACUUUUUAAAGUAUAAAGACUGGAAUGCUAAUCAUAAUUAAUUAUAGAGGGUAAUCUGUAAUUACCCCCAAGUCCAAGAUUAAGGAUGUGUGUUGAGCUAAUUGGUUUAAACAGUAUUGUUUCACAUCCCAACUUAGUCUUAAAUUAAUGGUAGCAAGAGGUGUAGGUCUGGCCGGAACACUACCAGAUGUGCACCAACACUAACUAUCUGAAUGAGAGACUUUUCUCAAGUCAGGGCACAGAACAUUUUUCUUCCUGAUUAGCAUAUAGUAGAGUGUGGCAACUGAAUCAGAUUCUGACAUAUGAGAUGCUUUAACUUAUUUAACCAUUCUGAUUCUUAAAAAUAAAUUUGCAAUACUGGAUUUUCAUCUGGUGCACCUGUAAGUUUACAAGACUAUAUAUUCAUCAAUCAUAACAAUCAUAUAUAUUGAUUCAAUGGGUCAAUGGUUUGACUUAGAUGGAAAUAAAAGUAGUUAUAUGUAGUAACAGAACACUGGUUUAUGCAUGCAUUAGUUGGUUUGUAUAUACUAGUAUCAGAUUUUUGGGAAGAUGUGUUAUAUAUAGAAUUUGAAAUUUUCUCUUGAUAGCUGAGUAAUUGAUGGAUGACUAUCAUAUGGUAGACUACUGAUAAUCAUAAAUUGUUGUUCCUAGUAAUCAUAGUAAGGGGGAAAACAACUUCAACUCUAACCACCACACACCAUUUUGAUAUCUUUCAAAAUGUAUCUUUUGCAUGAGAACUUGUACAUAAGUGAAAGGGAAUAACUGUUGUUAUUCUUAUAAUGAUUUACCAAACUGGUGCACAAGAGCAACACGUAAAUAUUGUUUCGCAAAACAUAUUUUCUGAUCGGAAUUUACUUUCAAAUCUUUGAUAAGGAGAUCCACAUAAUAGAGUAAAAGAAUUAGUGUGACAGAUACAUUUUCGUAGACAAACUAUUAAAGCACUCAUCACAGUUCAUCCAUCAGGAAAAGUCAAGAAACAGAAGGAGAAAAUGAAAAUGUUACGCUAUUCUUGUAAUGACAAACAUCAUCCUUUGUGUUUAUAGAAUGAAACAGGUCCUCUGCUUUCUGGUCUUUUUCUUUGGCUUUGGUGGACAAAGAACCACCUUAAUUGCAGCAUCAAAUACAGCCUUCACAUUCUAAAAAAAAAAGAUGAGAAGUUAAUAUGAACUAUAUAAUAUAUUUCUAUUGACUAUUCUGAUUGUUUAAAAUGUUGUUAUAAGUCUAUCGGUCACAGGUGAGAUAUUUAAUGAUGGUUAUCGGUAUCUUAUAACAUUUCAAACUUGGUGUCCUUCCAAUAAAAACGAGCAUCCUAUUUUUCCUCUUUUUUUGAGUUCAAGUUAAGAACAUCGCAAUCAAUUCAUGCUAUGUAAAUUGUUAUCCCUCAGUGUCUGAAUAAUGACAUUGAGAAACUUCAGAAUUCAAAGUCUUAACAUCAAAAAGGCAUAAUAGGCUUGUUUGGAUCUUUCAUUACCUGUUGAGUCUUGGAACUACAUUCUGUGUAGACAGCCGCACCUAUCAUUUUCUUUAGCUCUUCUCCCUGCUUAUAGUCAAACAGUAUGCUGCACUUAGUUUAUGACUUGAUAAGUACCGCUUUAUAGACUGACUAGCAGUAGGUCAACUUGCCUGUGCAGUUGUGAUAGGUGUUGCCCCAGGGUGAUCAAUGAAAAAUUGCUUGUCUUCACGUAAGUCUGCACCGCAUUAAGACCAAGAUUAUACAACUUACUGACUAGUAUUUUGGAAGGUUAAACCUUCAAUUUGAAAUCAAAAGGGAAAUAGCAUCAUACUUUAAAGAUGACUUUUCAAAAGGGAAAUAGCAUCAUAAUAGGUUAUAUAGGUCAACAACUGAACUACUAAUCAACUUAUCAUUAAUUAGAUCGCCAAUGAAGCAGUGACCUUAUGACCUGAAUGGUUUGACUAUCUGAUGAAAGAUACCUCAGGUGCAUUAUAGAAAAUUCAAUUCAUGGAAAACCAUACUGGUCAACUUGUAGGUUGCAUCUAACUCCUUGUAUGCAAGUAGUUGCUUUCUUUUACUUUUUUUUUUGUUAGUUAAGUUUAUCUAGACAUAAAUUUCAAUUAAAAGAAUACAAUGUUAUUACCAAGUUUAGUCCCAACUAGCACAAUCGGCACAUUUGGAGCAUAAUGUCUCAACUCAGGAAUCCACUGCGAAAAAAAGAGAAGGUCAUGAGAUACAAAUAGAGGACACAAUGAUAUGCAUGAAAGCUGAAAGAAAACAUGCCAAGGGUAUUUAUUACCUUCUUGUAUAUGUUCUCAUAGCUGGCCUUACUGGUGAGAGAAAAUGCUAAAAGAAAUACAUCAGCUCCUCUGUAACUGAGAGGUCUGAGCCUAUUGUAGUCCUCUUGUCCUGAAUUCACAAUAUUGGAAAGCUAUUCCAUCUCAAUUUGAUUUCCUCAUGAGGUAUGAUUGAUCGAGUAUUUACUGUUUGUCUUUUAGAUUGACUAGUUAUUGUUGUCUUUUACAUUUAUACUUGAGAAUCUAAUGCUAGCAAAACUUGAUAUGAAAUAUUUUCAAUGUAUAGAAUUUAGACAAGAUGUUGAAAUGAUGGAGUACUACAUAAACAGAGAGGAAGAUCUACUACUUUUUCCAUCAAUAAUGAUCAAUUAACUAUCCCCAGGUGUUUGAUGAUAGUAAAGUAUAUACAAUUGUGGCUGGAUAUAGACGUAUUUGAACAAUUUUCCAGUUGAAAUACACUGUUAUCUUAUGCAAACUAUUUCUAGCUUUGCCAUAGACCAGGAGGACCAGAAUCUAUGGCCAGAUCGAUUUAGCACCAUAUAAGUAGGGCAAUUAAGCUCACCUGCUGUGUCCCAAAGCCCAAGGUUCACUGUGCUUCCAUCAACUAUUACAUUAGCACUGAAGUUAUCGAACACAGUCGGGACAUAAUCCUGUUAAGAACAGUCGCAACAAGAGAAAGCACAGCUGAAUUCUACCUCAUAACUAUGCAAAUUUUGCAGGUAAAAAGCUGAGCUUCCCCGUGUUACCGUCGGAAAAGUAUUGCUGGUGUAGGAGAUGAGCAUGCAGGUCUUCCCGACUGCCCCGUCGCCGACCGUCACGCAUUUGAUGAACCUUGCCGUGCUCAUCGUCGUAAUGGCACUGGUACUGUUUCUUCUUCUCCCUCUCCCUGGUGCUGAUGGUAUAUAUAUAUAUAUAUAUAUAUAUAUAUAUAUAUGUCGUUGUUCUCNNNNNNNNNNNNNNNNNNNNUAUAUAUAUAUAUAUAUAUAUAUAUAUAUAUGCGUUUGUCUCAGGCUUUAACCACCAUUGGGCCAACAAAGUAGGAAGGACAGAGAGGAAGAGCGAUGAAAGGUGGGGAUUUCUGCUGCAAAGUGUUUGAAUUUUGAAUGGGGGCCGGGGAACGUAGGGCGGACUAGGAAGUGGUGGUAGGAGAGGCCCCCUCCUCUUUAAUGAGGUGGGGAGCAGCGCCACCACCGCCAGGGGUGCACAGCUCAUGCAUGCUUCACGAAGGCUGAGCAAUGAUGGCCUGCUCCACACACCCGAUGGUGCUCUUUUGGUUUGCCUUGCUUUGGGUGCAAGAAGGAGCGCUAGGAUCAGCCAAUCUCCUUGGGCGUGAGUGUUGGUUGGUUGGUUAAGUGCGGGAGAAGGAUGGUGAUGAUGGGAUCAAGGGAGAUGGGUGGCCUCCUUUGGCUUGCUUAGUAGAAUUAAUUUUCCACCAAGUGAUCAUGAUUGCGUGGUCAUCCAAUCUUGGUGAGACCACUAAGUCCCUUUGGAAACUUGGGAAAGAAAAAAGGGGUGAAGCAACUCUUGGUGGGCUUAGGUAUAUCAAUUGCUUUUUUUAUGUGCAAAAAGUCUUCUGGACUUUUUAUUGCUCGUAUGAGAAGAAAUCCGAGUGGAAGUAUUGAGUACAUACCAUUCAUUUGCAACUAAAACUUCAUUAUAAUUGCAAGUACGAGUGAGUAUACAAAAAAAAAAAUUACGAAGUCGAAAUAUGGUUAAAUUUAAUAUCCCAGAGCAUUAUAGUCAUAUAUAAUGUGUGAUUUUAUUAAGUUUUAUUAUGAUUUUUGAUGAUAGGCAUGUAGGAAUCCGUCCUUGCCUUGCUCGCGGGUUGGGCUUUACAAUGGUUAUUGGAGGCAACCAGGUGAAAAGGCCCAGCCUCUCGACGAACAUGUGAACGGGUCGGAUCGUAGCCAUCACGGCCCGAUGCGGUAAUGGGACGCCUCACCAAGUCCUCGUAGAUAAAUGGAGGGUAGGAUGCCUGUUUUGUCCCGAUAAGAAUCCCCGUAUGAUUCAUCUCCGGCCGCCGAGAGGAUCUCCGAGAAGCGCUACGAUCUUGGAGGGGCCUCAAGGACAAGGCGCAGGUUUCUUCUCCUCCUCCUCCUCCUCCUUUCUCUCGCCAUCCUCUUCUUUUUUCUAGAGUUUCGAGUCGGUUUCUUUUUUUUUUCCGGUUGGUUUUCGAGGAAUGGCAGGCAGCAUGCGGUAAGCCUACGAAGGUGCAAACGGAGAACAACUCACGCCGCGGUUUUUGAAAUUAUUGUCGACCCUUGCCAGCAAGUCCACGACCGCCUGGUUCGAUUUCAUCGAAGAAGACGAGGAUGGAGUUGGUCCCUCGCCCUUUUUCGUUUUGUUUCUGCUUCUCUUGCUUCUUCUUGGCAAUGGAAUCUGCUCACCCCAUCGUCGUUAGGGAUUGAAAGGUAUGGAGACAGUGGUUCCUACAUCAUGUGAUUAGUGAUAAUUUUGCUUCCUUAUGUUGCCCAAAGAAGUCACUGGAAAACCUUUCCCCACCUUCUCCUCCCCUCUUUUUUUUUUUUUGUUUCCGAGUCAGAAGGUUUUGAGGGUUUAUUCUCUUUGGUAUUUGUUAAAUAUAAAAGUAGAGGGGUGUUGUUGGUACGGCAUUUCUAUGCAUGCAAAGAAACAAACAUGUGAGAUUAAUAUAUGCCAAGUGUUGUCCAUAUUUUCUAUUUUGAAUACAGCUUGACAUACUCCUGUUGGUAUUGAAUACCGGUAAUUGUUUCGAUAGGUACAAGUCAUUCAAGCUGACUCGUUCUCAUCAUAUUGUUAUCAAAUCUACCUACCAAGCUUAUCCCAUCUGCGGGGGAGGCAAAAGAAGAAGAGGGCUUUAACACGCGUCGACAGACUCUAAAUGGCUGAACAUAAAGAGUAGUUACAUGUCCCCCCAAUGGCAAGUAAAAGUCAGAUAGACAAAAGGAACAGCCACUCAACCUUUGCUCUUUCUCACAAGAACCCAAGGAAUAAACAAAUGAUACCUUUACAGGCUCCGUCUCAUGAUCUCGUAUGAAAUUCCAACAUUGAGUGAUAUUUUGGCUACCCUUUCUUUCUAUAUGGCGAGUUGGAAAGACAGACACAUACAUACUACACAUUACUAUUUAUUAAUCUCGCCACACACACUCGUCAGCUCAACUGGUUGCACCACCGAUAAUCGCAGCAAUUGCAGAAAGCGCAGCCUGCUCAUGGAAGACCGUGAACCACCCCCACUCAUCAGAAAAACUUCAUAACUUUUGUAAAUUGUCAUGCUAAUUCAGCCAUUCCAUUUUAUGAUUGAUCAUCCAAAACACACAUUGUACAUACAGUAUGUAAGCUAUACAGUACAUUAUCCACAAGUAAUGUUGUUGACUGACAUAAACGGGACAUUGUGAAAGUGUACGCUCUGUUUAAGCAAUAAGAUCAAUAAUUCAAUGCGGCUACUCCACUUGAUCCGUCGUCAUCUAAAGUAAUUUGUUGACCCAAAAAAAAAAAAAAAAAGAAGAAAUAGGUUCACAAUAGAGUUUUGUGUCUUAAGAUCUCUGAUUUGAGCAACGCUCGUCUAUCAUAACCACAUUUUUACAAACCUUGUAAUUUCUCUAUCAUACAUUUACCGGUCUCAAUGCAGGCCCAUCUUUAGAUGCCACUGCCACAUGAUGAAUAGAAACCCUAAUGGAAUAAACUCGAUGACAUAGAAAUCCUCUUCUUAUCCAUCUCCAUAUGCAUACAUCAGUGCUCGAGUGGAUCAUAUGGUGGGAUAACAAAAAGGGUAAAACUCGAGCAUGAUCCACGUACAGAUGGUUCCUAUGCACAGUUGAGCAUGAUCCACCCAUCCGCUUAAGAAUUAAUUCAUCAAGCAAUUCUAAUGAGUGAAAUGUCUGAUCACGGUAAGCAUCGUCUAUAAACUCUCGACCAUCACACAUCUCCAUCUCAUUCCCUAAUUCCCUAGUUACGCUACGACGCAUACAACCAUUUUAUUUCUCGGAACCAUUGCUCUUCAAACCCUUCCACCUUCGAAACCUCUCCCUCUACCAAAUGUGGACUCAAUCGAUGACUAUGCCAAGUAAAAUAUUGAACACCAACUGAACCAUCUUGCUUCUUGAUUUCAUGUGGAUAGGAAUACAGUUCAAUCUUGGAUCCAUGGUGCACUAGCCUGAUCUGGUCCAAUUUGACCAACUUGACCAAAUCAGGUCGGAGCAGGAACGGUACCACUUAUCCCUGUUUCCAUCCCACCGGCAAAAAAAAUACCUAUCCCAACAAUUUAAUCUUUUUUUAAAAUUAUUAUACUGCAAAUAUAAUAGCAUCACACAUAUAUCAAUAAUCUUUUUAAAAAUAAAACAAAUUCAGUUUUAACCUUCGAAUAUGCCUUAGCAAAUGCCAACUUAUGAUAAUCUAGCAAGUAUAUCACUGAAGAUAAGUAUGAUAUUCACGAUCACUGAUAACUAAAGUUUACUGACUGUAAAGGGAAAAUCGAUUAACAUAAUGAAACAAAAACCACUUCAGAGGAAAUAAAAAAAAAACGUUUAGAAAAAUAUGGUAAAACAAUUUUCACAACUUCUUUAUAGAAAAAUUUACUUACUGCAAUUGUGCAAGCGACUAAGCCUGGUUUCUCUCUGUGGUCUACUCUGGCACAAAGUAGAAAAAACACGCCAACAUACCAUGGGAUCGCAGCCAGAAAGAAUCCAAUUAUGAACCUUCCAAAAAAGAUACUCUUCAUUAGCCUCAAACAUUCUAAGAAUUGGUAAUAUAUGUUUGAAAGACUGAAAUAGUUCAUGCAUUGUAUAUAUGUAGAUGUAGAUAUAUGUAUACACAUACAUAUAUAAGGAAAAAGCAAGAUUCACAUACAAAACCCAACCGAUGCCCAAGCCGCAGCAAGGGAGACUUGGCAGUGUCUCUGGUCUUCCUUCAACGACAUGUGCAUAACCUCGAAGAUAGUAAGCAUUAGAUGCAUUAGAACACAUCAAUAUGUCAAAAUAUCACAUGAACUAGGCACGAUGACCUAUAAUCUAGUUUGAUUACAGUUGAGCCAAGUUUAUAUCAAUGCUCUCACUAUAAAAAGCAAAAUGAAUAAAAUUGAUAUUCCAUUGCACAAAUAUAAACAUGCACCAUAAAAUUCAUGGCGAACUUCAAUUUCAGAGACAACAUCUAAACCAUUAGAAAUACACGAAGAGUCAUCAACACCGUCUCCGAUCUUUGCAGUAUCAAUCAGUCAGGAAUUCUAGAUGCAUAGAUGAAGAAGGCAGCACUAUCCAAAGCCUUCCUUGAUCCACAUGCGGAUCAACAUCCCAUGGCCCAUUCCGGUUUCGGUUUUGGUUUUGGUUCGAGAUUUUGCGAAACCGGAACCGUGGUCAGGGCUACACUGGUGAAUGACAGGAGGGAAAUCAUCCCCGGGGGAAACUCCAAUUUUUCUAUUGAGAAAAAAUAUAUAUUUUUUUUUUCUAUCUGCUGUUCUAUAAGCUUUCAUUUCAACAACAAGCAAAAUAUUCAGCUAGUAGGCCUAAUUCCUAAUCUUCAGCGAUGGCCCAGUCUUCCAGCAAUGAAACUUGACGGCACACCUCGCCCAUCGUCCAUGAAUUGUACUGGUAAAUGCCGUCGGAUUGGAACUAGGAAAGAGUGGUUAAGGCUUUCAGCGAAAGGAAAAAAGAUCUUGACACGAUUCCCGCAGGAUAAGAGAUUGGGGGUGGAAGUCACACUGGCUGGGAUCGAUAAGGGAUUUCUGAAGCGGCUGAUGCAUUCCAAUUCCCCACCCAUCCGGAGGCAAAAAAUGAAGAUCUCCUGAAACAUGCGAAUGAUGUUUAGCUCGCCAUAAUCCCGAUCAAUUGAAGCCCUAAAAGAUCUGUCAACCCUCUCCGCCGCCAUAAAUUCCCACAACCACUUCAGGAAAGGACAUACACCAGGCCGAUACCUCGAUCCGCAUUCCAAGAAACCAUCAUCCUCGACACCGAUGACUUACAAAUCCAAGAACCAAUUACCCACGAAAGACGAGACGAUUGAAGCAAAUCUAUCGGAAUGAAUUCAGAAUGCUGCUAUACCUGGGGCGGCCUGGUAGUCGUGGGCGUAAGAGGGAGGCAACGGCUGCUGCGGAGGCGCAGGGAAGGGAGGUUGAGCGGCGGUUAAGCCGGCCGGAGAGGCAGGAGAGGGGGAAUGGGCGAUUGUUAGGCCCGGCGGCGGCACCGGCAGGGGGAAGCCGAUGCUGGCGGGCUGGGCGUGGUCGGAGGCGCCAUGGAAGGUGCUGCAUUGCGGCUUGUCCUUGCUCUCCUCGCUCAUCUUCCCCCCUCCCCUUUCUUUUGUCGUGACCCCUCUCCGUCUCCUCUCCCCUUUUGCCUUCUUUCAUCUUCUUCUCUUCCUCCCGCCCUGAUUUAGACUUCCCCGAUUGCGUUAUUUCAGGUAACGCGCGAUGUGGCUUCGCGGAACCAGACGCCACUUCUGGCACUCGUUUAUCGAGUACCCCACUUCCCUACCUGCCUCUUCAUGGCACGUAGUGUUUUCGCAGCUCUGGGACCCACAAAAAACCAGUAAUCAAGUGAAACGUGGAUAAGCCAGGUACUCCAGAAACGGGUAGGAAAACCACGUCCGUCUUAAUCUCUAACGACGGUUUCAACGUCGCGCCACCGACAGAAGAAAUGACCCAUCCUCUUCUACCCGGUGGACACGCAACCCUAUUCCUUCCUCAUCUGUUCUUUUCUAGUGGGUCCCAGGUAAAUGAAAAGGUCAGCGUGGGUAAACAACGGGGUGGACCCUCUUUCGUGCGAGAACGCAAGUGGAAAUUAACGGGCCAAGCUGAGCCCACUACUAAUCCAACCCGAAACUUACGCCCGUCGAAAGGGUCUGUCUCUAUAUAUCCUCCACAACGUGCUGAACUCCAAUUUCAGGGCUGCAAUAAAAAUAUUGCUGAUGACAAUAAAUUAACAUGUUAAGAACAGCCGAGACUCCAACUUCACAUGGGAGACAAACCAUCUUGCAAGGGAUUAAUGUCAGUCGAAUUGACUCGGUAGGAAAGGAACUCAUCACCCUUUCUCUUUCUUCAACACCAUUCGCUUGACGGCACUUUCCAGCUUGUGUAACUCUCGCAGAUCGAGAGUAAUAGAUAGAUACGUCUCUAACCUCAGGUCGGUAAAAGGAUGUACAAGAGAAGACUAAAACUUCUCAGGAAAGAAUAAGAGCUUUAGCACAGAGUCAGCUCACUUUGUAACCCAAUGCUUUUUGGAAAGCUUAAUCUUUAUUGCAGAGCGUGUGUUACUGUCACGCGGUCUAAAGAUGCAUGAAAGUGGGUGAGUUGUUGUAAGUGUAAUUGGCAUCAACAAGGAGAACAUGUAUCACGAAGAAAAAGAAUGAGAGCAUAUAAUGGUGGAUGCCACAUUAAAAGACUCGUACUUCUGCCGAGACUUUGGUAAAGCGCAAGCGCAAGAAGCGCACACACACGGCCUGCUUAUGUUGACGAGAGGUAAAGCUCUCUCUCGUGAUGGGUUCCAACACAGCGCUUAAAAGAAAAACUCUCACGGUACUAAGACGCUCCUUGGUACGUCCCGUCCCAUAAAACUCGAGAGGAUGGCCGCAUAAAGGUACCAUCUUGUCCCUCGAGGAUCGAUCAUCACGUCAAAUCCGUGUACGAUCGAUCCUCGUAUAGUAAUAUAAAAACCCCUGACCGGCAUCUGGCCUAGAUGGAGGCAAAACAAACCAACCAAGCACUCACUUACUCAUGGGUCAAAGUCGGCAACCACCCGACGAGGGCCAUCUGUGCAGGAGAGCGACCACCCCCCGAGCUACCAACAUCCCGACGAAGAGCUGCCAACCAAUGUUCCAACUAAGAGCCGCCAACCAGCAUCCCAACGGAGAGUCGUCGACCAGCAUUCUGACCAAGAGCCGCCAACAAGCAUCCCGACCGAGAGACGCCAAUCAACAUUCCGAUGCUAACACCCCGUCUUGAGGGCAUAAUCGACCUCAGCAACCAGCUCAGCCGGUCAAAUGCUCCCGACAUCGACCCGUGGACCAGAUCAUGGUUGAUGACAACCACAUCAGUUCAUCAACAACAAAUUCUAUUAUCAUUACGGUUUAAUUGAUAGUAUUCUUAAGCAGGCUGAAAAAUUUAGGAUUUAAGCACAUCAGUUCAUCAACAACAUGAAUUCUAUUAUCAUUGCAGUUUAAUUGAUAGAAUAGUUAAGCAGACUGAGAAAUUUAGGAUUUAAAAUAUCAUGUAUAUAUAUAUAUAUAUAUAAAUUAAUUUUGUCUAUUAGAAAUAUCAUGUUCAAAACCUACCAGUUCUGGUGUAUUCUAUGCAUGUUUUGUGUCACCCGACCCCACCGGCCACCAGGCAAGUUGAAGCACACUUCCGCCGUCCACGGAAGGGCACAUAGACGUGGAUGUGAACCACCGGCUGCAGGUCGCCCGACAUAUGACCACCGGCUUCAUCGCCUGCAUCUCCAUCCUUCCGUCCUUCCAACUCGAUGUCGUUUCGUCACUCCCUGCGCAAUUGGAUUGAUGAACACCUGUGCCACCUGGUGGACUUCCGUGCACAGGAAGAACAGUGGUCAUCGGUUUGCCAUGACCAAGUCAACAAAGCUCCUCAGCUGUUGCCUUUGAAGAUUCAAAGGUUGACACCAAAAGCUGGACUUACGUAUAUUGGAUCACAUUCCUAUAGUAUUAAUUGAUAUACUUGCCGGAAAAUUACCGGUCUGACUCCGCCAUUUCCUUGCUGACCAACAAACCGCGUGUUCAUCGUAUUAUAUUUCUGUUCAAAGUUCACAGCUUCUUCUUAUUCUCAGUCGUAGACGGGAGAGGAAAGCAUCACGUACUACUCUUCCUCUUCUUCUUCUUCUUCUUCUUCUUCGUUCCUUUGUCUCAACAUCCUACUGUUGCAAAGAUCCAAAAGCAGUUAAUAGAUCUCUCCUCCUCCUCUUCUUCUUUCUAUCCCUUGCUUGCUCUCUGGAAAUGGCCUCCUGCAAAGCAUGGCAUCUCUUCCUAUUCUGCUGUCUUCUCCAACCGUUUCGAUCUUCAGCUUCUCUCUACAACUGGAGUUCUUCGGCGACGCACGGAUCUCCGCUCCCCGGGAUCGAAUUGCCUACCCACUUGAGCUUCAACGCCGUCACCUCCGCCGGGGAGUCCGGCUGUGACGACCACCUUGACGCGGCCGGCGGAUCGCCCAACAAAGAUGAGCAAGGAUUAUUGUACGAUAACAUGGAUCAGGGAGGGGUGGAAGACAACGCAAGCGCCAAGGAUGGGGCGGCGCCGGCCUUGAGGCUCCACCUCAAGCACCGGUCUACAAGGGAUGGGGCGGCGCCGAACAGGACCAAGAAGGAAUCCUUGGAGCACUCCGCCAAUAAAGACGCCCUUAGAAUCGGGACCCUCUUCCGGCGGAUCACCGAACGGAAGAACCAAAACGCCAUCUCCCGCCUCGCCGCCGAUGCUGAUCACCGCGCGGUCGUCGCCGAGAUGGGACGAAAGACGGCAAUCGCGACGCACCCGAAACAGGGCGGGCAGCUGAUGGCCAUGGUCGAGUCCGGAGUCACCCUGGGAUCCGGCGAGUACUUCAUCGACGUCUUCGUCGGUACGCCGCCGCGCCACUUUCCCCUCAUCCUCGACACCGGAAGCGACUUGAAUUGGAUCCAGUGCCUCCCCUGCCACGACUGCUUCGAGCAGCACGGCCCGGUCUACGACCCCGCCGCCUCCUCUUCCUACCGCAACGUCAGCUGCGCCGACCCCCGCUGCGGCCUCGUCUCGUCGCCCAACCCGCCCCAGCCCUGUCGCUCCGCCGCCGCUAAUGGCGGCCGCGACCAACCCUGCCCCUACUUCUACUGGUACGGCGACAGCUCCAACACCACCGGAGACCUCGCGCUCGAGACCUUCACCAUGAACCUCACGGCCCCGGACGGCGCCGGCGCCGAGUUCCGCCGCGUGGACGACGUCAUCUUCGGGUGCGGCCACUGGAACCGCGGGCUCUUCCACGGAGCCGCCGGGCUCCUGGGCCUCGGCCGGGGGCCGCUCUCCUUCUCCUCCCAACUCCGCUCGCUCUACGGCCACACCUUCUCCUACUGCCUCGUCGACCGCAACAGCGACCUCAGCGUCAGCAGCAAGCUCAUCUUCGGCGAGGACCCGAGCUUGCUCGGCCGCCCGGGCUUGAACUACACCUCCUUCGUCACCGGGAAGGAGAACCUCGUUGACACCUUCUACUACGUCCAGAUUAAAGCAAUCCUCGUCGGCGGCGAGGCACUGCAGAUACCACCGGCGACAUGGGAGCUGGCGAAGGACGGCAGCGGCGGGACCAUCAUCGAUUCCGGCACCAUACUGAGCUACGUCGCCGACCCGGCGUAUCAGAAGAUUAGAGAAGCCAUCGUCAAGAGGGUAAAGUACCCGAUGGUGGCAGACUUCCCGGUGCUGAAUCCUUGCUACAAUGUAUCCGGAGUACCCAAGGUGGAGCUGCCGGAAUUCGCGAUCUUGUUCGGAGACGGCGCGAUGUGGAACUUCCCGAAGGAGAACUACUUCAUCCGGCUGGAUCCGGAGGACAUCAUGUGCCUCGCCAUCCUGCCGACGCCGCAGCGGGGGAUCUCCAUCCUGGGCAAUAACCAGCAGCAGAACUUCCACAUCACGUACGACUUGAAGAAUUCCCGGCUGGGAUUCGCGCCGGCGAGGUGCGCCGAGUUGUAGAGAGAGAACUCAGAUCACAUAGUCUUGGAGUAGACAUUUUGUCGGAAGGUAGACACGAAAGUGUUGGCUCCAAGAAGAGCUGAAGAGCUCAAUAGACCAACAACCGAUUCAUUUCUUCUUUCCUAUUCCCAUCUUCUUUUUCUUCUUCUUACAUACACACAUACAUACUUUUGGUCUGUAAGAAUAAGUCUGCAAUUAGCUCGCCAUAAAGUUAAGAAAGGAAAUCCAAAGCUCUGUUGUUCUUUUGCUUUGUCGAGUAGAUAUUUCCUCAAACUGCUUGUCCUGGAUUCGUCCUUCCAUUCCUUCUCGUAGGAACAGAGAGAAGGAAGAAUGAUCGGGUAAGCGAGCAGGGAAGAGAACACAGCAGCAAUCACAGUGAACCAUCACAAGAAGAAGUGACUUCAUUUGUACGAGUAUCGCAAUUCCAUGCCUUUGAUCAUCCCAUAGCUGAUUUUUUGAUGCGUGUAUCACAUGUGACAGUCAACAUCCUGCGGCUAUUCCUCGUUCCUGUGUUUGACCAUCGAUUGCUGUACCUGUUGAUCUUUCCUUUCCUCGCUCGCCGAUACACCGAGCACGAGAGAUGCGAAUUGUCGUCCUCAUCUGUUGCACAUGUUAGGCAACGCGAGCAUUAAUUUCCACCAUCGACGACACUGCGCGUCUCCCCUUUUCCUCCGACUACUUGAUGUUGCAACCAUCACCGCUUACUCCACCAUGUACAUUAUAGUACACAUUAACUUUGCUCUCUGUUUUGGAGCAGCAGCACAUAUCGACUCCAUGAGGUGUUCGAGCAGAUUAGGUCGAGUGACAUAAUUCGGAGCACCUAUUUCGUAAACAUGUACACUUUAUCGUGCAUGCUGCUCCUGCAGGCAAUCUCGUGAAGGGAUGACUGACUUGAAUGCUUCAGUUCGUAGCUCAAGAUUAGAUCUUUUUUUGGCUGCACGCCUACCAAAUGACUCGAAGAAGAUAAUGUUUAGAUUUGCAAAGUGCCCACCGGUGAGACUUUUGCUCAAACACUUAUCCGAUUCCUGUUGUAGUCAACUGCAGUGAGCAGCGGACAGGAGUGGAGCUGAUCUGUGAGCCAUGACGGCAUUAAAUAGACAUACAUCCGUCACUACCAGAAGAGAUUCCAAAAGGCAGACAACAGUCUUUGGUUUGGUAUGGUAAUGGAUCAGUUCAUCGAAAAAGGAAGAGAAGAGGAGAGGUGGAGUACAAAAGCAAACCAUGCACGAUUUCAGUAGAUUGGGCAUUGGUUUGCCCCACAUCACAGCAAUUCGUAAGGAGCAAAUAAGCAUCCAACAAGCACCGCUCGCCAUGCUCAGAAAGAUCGAGCAAAGCAUGGCUUUGCUGUGCCAUUGCCAAUCAUAGAAACAUAAACUGGAACUCGAUCGUCUUCUCCGUCGCCUCAAGAAUGGGAGGGAUCGCGUUCAGUUGUCGAGGUGCUUCAUCCCCAGCUUCUUGACUUCCACUUUGAGAGAUUUCAGGUACUUGACGGCCUCGUCGAGGACGGCAGGAGUGUCCAUGCGAUCGCCACCGGGGAUGAUGCCCUUGAGUGUCUUCACCAUCUUCUUCAUCUUCUCCCUUUUGCCGCUGCUACUGCCGGCGGUCCCGGAGACUUGCUUCCUGGAAGAAGCGGACUUCGAGUGCGAGGAGCAGGCGGUGUCCGGGGAAUGGCCUGCCCAGCUGCCGGGCGUCCUCCCCGUGCUCACCACGUCGUCGUCUUCGCCUUCUUCCGAACUCAGCAACGCGUCGAUGUCCUCCGUCUCUUCGUCGUGAUCCCUGUGCGCACUUUGGCCGGCGUCGUGAGCGUGAGUUCCGUAGGCGUCGAAGCCGGGAGAGCCGAACUUGUGCGCCAGCGAAGGGUGGAACAUGACCCGGCUCCUGUGACGUGUCUGGUCAAAGAUGACAAAGUUUUUGGGGCAUGUCUCCGACGGCUGGAACUCGAUAUUGUUGAGCGGGGCAGGGAAAUCACGGUGCUCGUGCCCUGCAACAGGGGCGCCGCCGUAAGGGUAGUAAGCGCCUGCGCCGGAGUCGAAGCCGUAGCCGUCCUCAAGUGGAGCUUUUCCGGCUAAGUAUCUCGGGUUCCUCUGCAUGGUGCUGUCGCUUGUGGGAGAAAUCUGGUGAAAGUGAGCAGAGGAUGGCGAGAGCAAGCAACACGAUCUCCCGAGCAGAGUUUCCUGUUCGAUGCCAACUUCGAGGAAGGAAAGACAGCUUAGCUAUGGAGUGUCUCUUCUAUUGAAUAGCUCUUCUUCUGUGACAGAGGAAGAAGGAAGAGAACAGAUCGACUUGCUCUCAACCUACGUGACAGGCUUGAGCAACUGGCGGAAGUACUCAGCCUGCAACCAGAGGACAACCAGUAAGAGUAAUUCAAACACAGAGAAGAGAAUCAAACAUGUUCUUCAAGUAUUUUUUGACACAGUAACUAUGGAAUUACCUGACAAACCUGCAACAAUUGAGAAUAAGCAAUGAUCCUGACACUCAUUAUGAUCUCUCCAGCCUUCUCCAAUGUUCGGUAUCUCUUCAGAUUUGCCUCAAUGUGCAUUCUCAAUUUCUUCACACAGGUUGCGACCAAACCACCCGACAGCUAACAAAGAUUCCAACUCACCUGCCAUUAAUUCACCGAAUAAACACGAAAUCGAACGCACUUCAAGAGAGAGUUGCGGUGGAAAACAGAGAGGGCGAUUUACACUAUGACACGAAAGAAGACGACCAAGCGAACGCGCUUCAGGUAGAAGUCAGCAGCCAUCGACGCCCACGGCAUGCUUACCGGUCUGAUCUCGGUUCCCGCAGUCCUGCAAACGAAGGAUUCAAAGCUGAAACGAUCGAAUUCAACAGCCGUCGACCCGCGAAGCAGAAGAUAAAGCAGAGGGAGCAGAAACAAACGAAGUCGUGCACCAAAGCUCAAACGAUAAACACAUGGCUGCUGGUGCAAGAGAGAAGAUAUAGAGGGGACCUACGGAGGUGGUGGCUCCUGCACGGGCUGAUGCAACGCGAGAGGAGUCAGCUGAGAUUUCAAGUACAAGAAGCUGGAGCAGCGACAGGGGAGGGAGUUGGACGGCCUACGAGGCCUAUGGGAUACGGUGGGAGGCUGAGACUGUGAAGCCACCUUGCCCCUCCCUCCCUCGCCUCCUAUAUAUCUACGUCUUCCGGUGUCUCUUUCCUCCGAGGUAGGUAAUGAUGGGAGCUUCCAAAGCGGAGAUCUCUUUCCUGCGCUUUCAUUAAAAUUGAGGCAGAGCAAUUAAUGUGGCGUGGAGGCAGGCAAACGGGGGUGGAUGUGCGUCUGUGCGCGCGAACGCGCGCGAGCUUCGACUUGAUUGCGCGUGACGCUCCUCCAUCCAACACGACAGCCUGCCUCCCUGCCCCAACCAUUUAAAGUCGACACCUUUUUGCCCCCACCCUUGGGUCUCGCUGCUGCUCCUUCCACGCCUGUCGUCGGAUCAUCGGAGACGGAACAGGCAGCCGUCGGAUGGCGGGCGUCGCCCCCGGGGGCCCGCUCGGGGACUCCGGAGGGGACACAGGGAGAGGGAGAUAGAUGGUGGCGAUCACUAUUUGUUACCACGGUGUUCGGGUUCAUGUGCUGGUGUCGGGGGCAGUGGAGGGGGGAAGGUCAUCAUCAUUUGGGUGCGGUGUUGUCAUCAUAAUGUCUGCAGUGGAUGGAGAGAGAGACUGUGUGUGUGUGUGUGUGGUGGGGNNNNNNNNNNNNNNNNNNNNAGGUGGACGAGGAGGAGACCGGGGGAAGGGGGGGACAGCGAGGCCUACGGAGCACGCGUGGGCAGUCGCACCUGCGGUGAACCACCGAGCUCGAGGCCUACGAGAUGGGCUUCUGCCGCUGUCGUCGCUGGCCGUAAUCGAUGUCGCGGUUCCCCAGCAUGAUCUCCUCGCCUCGCCUCUUAUGAUGACAGGUGCUCCAUUGCUUAUGCUCUUCGGAGAUCGUAUUGCCCGACCACCAAAACGAACCCCCGCCAAUUUACCACCCUGCUGUGCGACUCUCUCUCUCUCUCGCGGGCAUGACUGUGUGGUGGGGGCCGACAGGUGCAGGAGUCAGCGUGACCUCAGCUAAGGGCCCCGCAGGUGUAAGCGGCGCGUACGAUUAGGGGGUCCCUGGAACGGAUAUGUGACACGCCCACUCAGAUUCCUUGCUCAUACUUGCUGGAUUGCAAAAUGGGCUGUAAUGGGCCUCUGGAAGCCCGGCCCAAAAUAGAGGGCUACUUGCUUGAAUUGUGCAUGAAAUUACGAUCGACUUGUCUCAUAUAAGACAUAAAUCAACCUCAGGAAAUAAACCAUAUCCAUGUCACGAAGGUCACAAUAAGUUAAACAGAAAAAGGACACUUCAUGUCCCAACCAAAGCUCAAAGUAGAACACUGUCUCAUUAGGGGGGGGCUUUCUGUCGGUGAACACCGAGAGAUGACGAAACGUCAAAUCGUACUUAGCCGACCAUGGUGCUGUCGUACAAAAAUAGUUGCCAUUAGCAACCUACUCAAGCCUUUCUGCAGCAGAACGCCUCAUACCAUCUAAACGGCAGCAGCAGGGCAACGAGACGACAUUCUGUAUCAGUGUCUGCUAAAAGAUCUGCAACACUUUUUGUGAUGGCAUUCAAUAUGGAGGAGUGGAUUCAGGUGAACGCGGAAUGCACUUGUUGUGGGCGUGCAUUGUAUCAUGUGCCGCCGGGGAGAAGCGAAGACAUAUAUAUGGCAUGUAAUUAUAUAUAACUCUUUUCCUACAUUCCAAAUAAUUUUCUACAAAACACACAUUAAUUUGCUUUAAAUUUGGAGAUGCGGGGAAUCGAACCCCGUGCCUCUCGCAUGCAAAGCGAGCGCUCUACCAUAUGAGCUACAUCUCCAAUGACACUUUCUUGAGAUACAAAUUAAUCUGAAGGUGGGAUCGACUCGGAUGCGGAUGCGUAUUCCGUGUGGUCUUAUUUGGCUAGCCGACGACCCGUUAAGCGGAGGUUGCGUGGCAGGAAUUGGCGGCUCCGAGUGGAUACUUAUCCGGAUAAACUUAAAAUUAAAUUAGAGACAAACCCGAUGGGCCCCACAGCGCCUCUGAGACAAAAACGCAUCCCAAACUGUUUCAGAAGCUGUACGAUGAUGUGUUGGUUCCACAGCGACUCUCUUCAGUGCUCAUUUUUCGUGGUUGACCCUCUCAUGUACAGAUCUCGUCAUUUUUACUUCCACGUGAGCGCCAGGUUGGAUCGUCGCCAUUCGAAUCCAUCAAUUAUUGACACCGUGGUUGACUUGAUCACACACACACGACAAUGCCGUAUAGGGAACGGCGAUCCGAACCAACACGCAAGCGGAUCAGGACCAUCCGAAAGCCGACACGCGUCCCUUACGCCCUCUCCCAUACGGGCCAUGGUUCGGCCCAUUCGAACCUCGUGCGCCCCAGCCACCUUGCUAACCAUAAAAUAAUCCCAUACGGUGUUUGCGCGUCACACUGUUCCCAACCACCUCAGCCUUAUUAAUUGAGAGGAUUACACUAAUCAACUCUACCGUCAACAACCAAUAGCUAUUAUUAUUAUUAUUAUUAUUAUUAUUAUUAUCAUUAGAAUUAGAUUCCUGUCGUACUGCAUCAGCUACAGGUCAUGUGUUAUAUCGAAGGGAAACGACCACCCAACUCAUCGAUCCUAUGCAUGUAGUAUUAUCGUGAUGUAAGGUGAAAUGGCAGUAUGAGAGAGAGACGAGGAACGAGAAGGGACAAGCUAAGUAACAGGUUUGGUGGGGGGAGGGGAGAGGGGUGCGUGUCAACGGACGCCAAGUCCAUUAAAAUACGGUUGAAUCACGGCGCACAAACCCAAUAAGACUCUCUCUCUCUCUCGCUCUCUCCAUCAUUUGCUCCUGCGAUCAUCGCUUUCGCUUUCUGGUUUCCUUGUGCGGAAGGGAGGGAGAGGAGACGCACCUCGGCCGCAAUAAUAGAGGCAGCGGAGCUGGGUCGUGGAUUUUGUUCUCGAUUUCGGCCGAUUAGGGCGGAUCUUUUUGGGUGCCAUCGCAGUGGUUUUGCUGGGAAUUUGGGUCGGAAUCGGCGGAAGUGCGCUCCAGGCUUUCGUCUACGUGCCGAGGGAAUUUUGGGUGUUACCGAUGCGAAUUCUGAGUUGUUCCGUCGCCUGGUAAGGGGUUCCGCUCUUUCUAUUGGACUAGUUGGACCUUCUGUUGGCUAGGAUGUGAGAGAUAGGUGGAUUUGGGGAUUAUUAGGGUUCUUAUCCUUUGCGAUUUGGAGAAGAUGUGCCGAAAGACAAUAGGAUUCUGUUUUAAUUCGAAUCCCCCUUUCAGCUCUUCUGGAUUCUUAGCUGGAUUCUGCCUAUUUGCUGAUUGAAUAAGAUUGCACUAUCAUUUAUGAGUCGAUGCUUUUGAUAGACUAUUGGUGCACUAGUCUUCCUUGUUGUCAUUUUUUAUUGUCAAUGCUGCUGACGGGGUUUUGGAAUUCAAUUGUGUGGUUCAUGGCUUCACGAAGUUAAAAGAAAUAAUUUCAGCGUGGAUUUAUGAUAUCAAUCAUGGUGUUACACAUGUCAAUUGAUGUUCUGAAGAAUUCUUAUGUUGGAACGAUCUUAUAAACCUUCUAUGAACAAACCAUGAAAUGUCCAUACGUUGAAUUGAAACCAUGAAAUAUCUACAUGGAGUUUGUUUAUCAUGGUCCUCUAAUAGUGCCUUUUUCCCGUCGAGAAAUAUGUAGUAUACAAAGUGUGUAGCAUCUCUCUCUCUCUCUCUCUGCGUGUGUGAAACCUUUGCUUUUGAAUUCUCUCUCUUACCAGCUGUCUUUCUUCAUGGCAAUUGUAGAGAAAUUAUCAAUGGAGCAAACUUCGGAAAAUUCAGCUCGUUUAGGUAAGUAGAAAUGAAAUCAUGCUUUUUCAACAGUAGCAGAACAAAACUGAUCAUACACUUUUGAUCUUUUGCAUAGUUUCCUCAAAUUUUCUAUCAGUGAAGACUCCAACGAAGGCAGAAAAUGCGUGGGACAUUCCAUCUGGAUCCAAUGCGCUCUGUGGAUCAAGUGAUGUUAGCCUUUUCUCAAGCUCAUUACCAGUACUUCGUCAUGAAAAAUGUAUGCUGUUCCUUUUAAUGGUUACUGACUUUCGGCUAUAUCAUUCAAAUCAACUCUAUUAAUGCUAUGUUAUUCAGCGAAUUUUGCAGAUUCACACAUCGGUGCUCAAUGGACUUUUGAUGCAUCUUCCAAACUGGAAAAGGGAAACAAUGACGCCGAGAGUAAGGUUUGUGUGGAUGAUCUGGACCUCCAUGGGACUGGGAUCCUGUUACCUGAUGAUGAAGAAGCCCUUUUGUCUGGCAUAUUGGAUGAUUUCGACCUUAAUGGGUUGCCUAGUCAAGUUGAUGAACUUGAAGACUAUGAUCUUUUUGGCAGUGUUGGGGGCAUGGAAAUGGAUUCUGAUCCUAUAGAAAGCAUUACGGUUGGUAUUGCAAAGGCAAACAUCUCUGAUGGCUUUUUAGGCAAUGGAAUUAGUCAGUAUGGUCUUCCUAAUGGUGUUGGGACUAUUUCCGGGGAACACCCAUAUGGAGAGCAUCCUUCAAGAACUCUAUUUGUGCGUAACAUCAACAGUAAUGUUGAAGACUCUGAAUUGAGGUCGCUCUUUGAGGUAAGUGUUUGUAAUUCUGUUGCAUAACUUUCUGCUUUCAAUCUGCUUCAGCUUAUAUGUAGCUUAAUUUGUAGUUGCAAGUAUUGCUAAUUUUCAUGUAGUGAAUUCUGUGCAAAAACUGUGAAAAUGGUUCCUUCUCCUGGUUUAUGUCUUGUUAAUUUAAGUUCCCAAUUGUUCUAAUGUUACUAAUAUAGAAGCAAUUUUUAGAAAGAUUAGAUUACCUAUUCUCUGUUGUCAUAUGCAAAGCGUUGUAAAAUUUUAGAAUUGGUGUUGAAGGAUUAUCUUUUUCUAUGAGUUAAUAACAAUGUGGAACUACUUUUGUUUGGUAUAUCUUUUAAAGCUAAUAACAAUGUUGAACUACUUGUAUUGGUGUCGGAAGUAUUGCUAACUUAUUUUCGUUAUAUAUUUUGUUAUGUGGAACCACUAAGUUUAUAAAAUAAGUUAUUUUCUUUCUGUUAUGAAAACGUUAUAUAGGAAUGUUGGUUGUUGGUUUUCUCUAUUCAUCUCAUGUUUGUUUAUCAAUAAAAAAAAAUGCUGCAACAUGGUGAAUCCUUUAAAUAUUGUCCCUUGUGGUACUAGUGCAUGCUACAUCUUGGUCUAUUAAGCAAAUAUACCAAGUGCUACUUUCAACAUUUAGUGUGAUGUGGCAUACCUACUGAUAUAAUUUGUUUCCAAAUCAUCAUCUUCAGCAAUACUAUCAUGUUCAAGCUUUUUGUCAUUGCAGCUGGAUUGUUUAAAGAGCACAACUUGGGAGAUCAAUAAAGCCCUAGAUGACAAAUUUGUGACCUGCUGCUAACCUAAUAUUAACCCUAGAGAGGCAACCUAAUGCACAAGGCUAUCCGGAGCUUGGGCGGGGUUAGUGUACUAUCCCUGCUAGCAAAGAGGCUAUUCUGUGACUGCAAUCCUAGUCACCCAGGAUGCAGAGUAACUUUAUUAUGACAUGAAAUCUUGCUAUCAACCUAAAUGUAAAAGUCAAGUUCAUAGCCAUGGCAAAUAAAGACAGAGAUGACUUGUCAUACAAUGUAGGUAGGAGGAGUGAUAUAAAAUAGCCUUUCGAGAAAACCAGUUAAACUGAUGUGCGAGUUUUUUUAAUUAUUGAUCUGAAAUAACUUCUUAUAGAAACCCCUUUUUCAUUUAGCGAUUGAUAUGCUGCAAUGGUUAGACUAUUAUGUGCUAGCUUUUUACUGUUUAGCUGAAGAUUACAUAGAACGUGCUAUCUAUUGUCAAGUUUCAUGCAUAAUGCUAAUAAUUUGUCUGAUUUUGUCAACAUGCUAGUUUAUUGCCUUCUUAUGAAAUCUUCUAAAUUGUAAUUUUCUUAUUGCUCAUUCCUAUUCCAGAACUUUGUUUCUUGACUUUCUCUCUCUUGACAUUUAUUUGUUGCUUCAUGUUUUUAGCAAUUUGGGGACAUCCGAAGUCUUUAUACGGCAUGCAAACACAGGGGAUUUGUGAUGAUAUCUUACUAUGAUAUACGAUCUGCUCGAUCUGCCAUGCGUGCAUUACAGAACAAGCCCUUAAGACGGAGAAAGCUUGACAUACAUUUUUCAAUUCCAAAGGUCUCAAUAUGGAUUUUUUUCUUUUUUUUUUAUGGAGAAUCUGUAACCUAUUUUACUCUCUAUUACUUGGUCAUUAUCUGUUCUAGUAAUUUUCAGGAUAACCCAACAGACAAAGAUAUGAAUCAAGGAACUCUCGUGAUAUUUAAUUUGGAUCCUUCCGUUUCUAAUGAGGACCUUAGGAAAAUAUUUGGUGCCUAUGGGGAAGUUAAAGAGGUGAGAAGUUUUAUUUAUAUUUGUUAAUCCCAGAGAUCGUUUUUCACAUAAGGUUACCAGUCACCUGAGGCUAAUGCAAAGGUGUCGGUUUUUUACUGUUUGAAGCAGAUAAGAGAGACUCCUCAUAAGCGGCACCACAAAUUUAUUGAGUUUUAUGAUGUCAGAGCAGCAGAAGCUGCCCUGCGGUCAUUGAACAAGAGUGACAUAGCUGGGAAGCGAAUAAAGCUAGAACCAAGCCGCCCUGGUGGAGCUCGCAGGAAGUAUGUACAUUGAUUUUAGUGUUUGCAUAUAUCUCAUUCUUGGAGAGAAGUGCUAUACAAGAUCUGUAGAUUUUUUUUUCCACUCUAAUUUGCACUAUUACAUUAAAUUUGCAUAUAUUUCAUUCUUGGAUGGUUUAUUGUUUUCUUAUUGUCAUGGGUAGCUUUUUCCAUAAACUCUUUUUGGAAUUAUUUAGUACUGAAGUGCUAAAAGCUCAAUCUUUUAAACAGCUUAAUGCAACAAUUGACUCAUGAGCUAGAACACGAUGAGACCAGAGUUUAUCGGCACCACGGGGGAUCACCUAUCGCCAAUUCACCACCAGGUAUACUUGGGUAACACGCACCUAAAUUCAUGUGUAUCUUUGUGUGUAUAUUGUCUUAUACAAGUGUUCAUCUUUGCCUUUUCUUUUCAACUCUUAACACCAUAUUUUACAUUUGCCAUAUUUUGUGAUUUGAACUGGGUGCCUCUCGAAUGGCAGGUCUAUGGGCACAAUUCAGUAGUCCAAAUGACAACAGUCCACUACAAGUUCUUAGCAAGUCCCCUAGUGGGGGAGCAAUGAGCCCCAUUAAAAAUAAUCAUUUGCCUGGACUAGCUUCUGUACUUCCUCCAAUUGUAUCAACUUCCACUAAGAUUGCACCAAUCGGAAAGGACCAAAAUAGGGCCAGCCAUGCUGAUCAGGUAAUUUCUGGUGGGAGUCCGAUACAUGGAAGUGGAUAUCAGCAAUCUCAUUCCUUCCCAGAUCAUGGUCAUGGAUUGGUGACCCCAACUCUAGGAAAUUUAACUUCUUUUGGUCCUUCUACAUCGAAUGCAUCUGGAGUUGGAACUCUAACUGGCCCACAGUUUCUCUGGGGUAGCUCGGCUUCUUACACAGAUAAUAUGCAGUCUUCUGCUUGGCAGUCUAGGGCUACAGGAAAUUCAUUCAUGUCAAAUGGACAAGGGCAAGGGCAAAACUUUCUCUAUUCAGGCCAUCAUGGCUCGUUCACUGGGUCAUCACACAGUCAGCAUCACCAUCCUGUUGGAUCAGCUCCAUCUGUUGUUCCUUUCGAGAGGCAGUAUGGAUAUUUUCCCGAGUCACCAGAGACAUCCUUCAUGAACCAAGUUGCAUUUGGAAAUACUGGGAUUAACCGGAAUGGUGGCAGUUUACUUAUGAACACGACUCCUCAGGCCACUAUGAAUCAAGGCAUAAUGUCAGGAAACAUGCCAGAUAAUAGUUCACCCAAUAUGAGAAUGAUGCCUCCUCAGAGAUUUGGACCUGUGCUCUUUCGCAGUCCUCCUUAUUCUGGCCUAAGUUCCAUCGGCAUUGAUGGUCUAGUUGAUCGGAACCGCAGUCGGCGAGUUGACAACCAUGGUGGUCAAGUAGACAAGAGGCUGUAUCAGCUUGACUUGGACAAAAUAAUUAAGGGGGAAGACACUCGAACAACGAUAAUGAUAAAAAACAUUCCAAAUAAGUAUAUCUUUGGAAAAAUUAUCAAAUAUCAUGAUUCUUUGCCAAUUAUAUGGGAUCAUAAACCUAAUCUGGUUUUUACUUGCUUUCCAGGUACACCUCGAAGAUGCUUUUAGCUGCAAUAGAUGAAACUCACAAAGGCACGUACGACUUUUUGUACUUGCCAAUAGAUUUUAAGGUAAUUUGCUCAAAAUUCAAACAAUGGUGGUUUCAUAAUAGUAUCUUAAGCUAAAUCAAAAUUUGAUUUUAUCUGUGCAGAAUAAAUGCAAUGUGGGUUAUGCAUUUAUAAACGUGGUGUCUCCUGCACACAUAAUAUCCUUUUAUGAGGUUUGGUUUUGUUUUGUUUCCCUACUUGCUGAUUCAGUUCUUGUUAGGUCUACUUUCUGAAAUGUUUAUGAUUGGGAGACAGAAGUUUUGAAGUGUAAACUAGGCCAACCAAAUAACAAAACCAUGUAAACUUGGGAAGCUUUGCUAAACCCCUUUUAUACACUUAACAGGCAUUCCAUGGGAAGAAAUGGGAGAAGUUUAACAGUGAGAAGGUUGCCUCUCUGGCAUAUGCAAGAAUCCAGGGUAGAGCUGCACUUGUUGCCCACUUCCAGAACUCUAGCUUGAUGAAUGAAGAUAAGAGAUGCCGCCCCAUUCUUUUUUAUUCUGAGGGAGCGGAGGCUGGUUAUCAGGUAAAAGAUCAAUAAGUUUCUGGGAAUCUUAUGAAGUAGCUUAGUAUACUGGAUGUAUAUAAGCUGCAUUGAAUUGAUUGAUAAGCAAAUUUGUUAAAGCUACCAGAGAAUGUCCGAUGUCGUUAAUUAAUAAAUUCACAUGUUCAGCUUAUGCGUGUUAGGGUUCACCAGGAUCUAACUAAUGAUUAGAUGUCCUGGACGGUGCAUUGAAUAUGAAGGAGCUUUUUUUUUGUCUUUUUCUGAUAGUCAAUAUUGUGUUGAAUGCUUGAUGUUAGUAUGAUUGAUGUUACUAGACACAUGCUACGGCCAAAAUUUAGUCCUUUGCUUUUGGUCGCAUAUAAGCUGUUUGUGCAAGAGCUGUUGAGGUAUAACUGCAUACAUAUUCAUGCAGGUAGUCAUGCAAAAAAAUUGUUUAACUCGCUUCGGUGACUGUUUUGUGACUUUCUCUAUUGUUUCCUUAUUCCAUAAAAACUCGGUUAGUGGCUGAAAUUACCAAAUAAAUAAAAUAGUAUUCGAUGACUGAAUAUUAUUAAAUCUUUGUUUAUAUCCCUUGAGCCAAGGGUUGAUUUUCUGGUGUCUAUAAAGAAAUGAUUCCUCUUACGGACAUGACUGUUAGUGUUAAUCGUGUUCAUUUGGAUCUAUAUGUUGGUAAAACUUAUUUUUCAUCCUUUUCUGACAUGUGCUUUUGCGGUUUCGUAUGUCAAGUUUUCGCUGUCCUAGAUCAUGACGAAGUCAAAGAUAAAAUGUGGUUACUCCGUUUCUUGCAGAUUUACUAUGUUGAUCAACCUUUAGGAUUUGUUUCCCAUUUAAUGGAUACGAUUGCUAAUAGAUGAGAAGGUUUUGCAGGAACUCUUUUCAUCAAGUCAUGUGGAUGUGCAUCAAGAAGAUAUGACUGAAUCAGUGGGCGACUCACCUGAAGGUCCACGAGGAAGCAGUAAUGGGCUGCCAGAGAACACCAACGUACCUGGAACUAGCUUGGAAGGGUAGCAGUUCCUUACAGCAACCACGUAUUUGUGAAUACUAACUCUCCAUAGGUAUUCUAAGUGUAAAAUACGGUGAGGGGGGGGUGGGUUUGGCAAGGAAACUGCGUGCAAUUGUAUUCAAGGGUGUGUCCACUUUUGCAGCCACGGAUGCACCAAAGCAUCAUCAGUGCCAUUAAUCGAAACAGGGAUAUAAGUCCCUGUUCCUUCUUUUGUACAGAUAGGAAGAUCCUGACGUCAAGAAAUAAAGGUUGAAGUGUAUAGGUUUGAUCACGGUCAGUCUGCUGGUAAGCACAUUGCUAACUGGUGGUGCAUGGUUUCAUCUUUUUCCUUUUAGGCACAUGGUUUUAAUGGAUGUCUUUUGAACUUUGUAUUAUUGUACAUAAUGGGACUUAAUUUAGUGCACUUAAUUUUCAUUACUGUGGCAGUUAAUUUGAGUUUGUUGAAUGUGUUUAGUGCACGUGGACUGUUCAUCUGACCAUUUAGUUUCUUCUUUAUACGUUUUGCAUUCGGACAAUUGCUGUUUAUUUAUAAGUUGGGUGCGUAAUGUUAUCAAUGGCGUGAAGUCCAGAAGUCGCUGAGUUUUAAUUCAGUCUGGCGUCAUGAACAGGCUGAUCAGAUGACUGCACCGGCGUUGCCGAGAAGCUGUUCGACGAAUUGAUCCAACGGAGACAGUCAUGUUAGGUACGACGUCACGUGGUGGUGCUUACUCUGGUUGGACGAUUGGACGCUGUCGGGCCACUCGUCCUCUGACGCCUUGAGCGCCACAUGGUUGGGCAGUAAUUACACUUGGCGUCGCAGCUCUGCAGCCACCAAGCAUUUAUUCUUCUUACGCUUUUCUAUGGCCAUUAGCCAUCCCAUACAACUCGGACAGCCCCAUGGAUAAGGCCCUAUUGACCACUAUAAAGAAAGGUGAGAAAUCACCCGAAAGCGAGUGGUUUAUCUCUUUUAUCUUGGAGUAGCUCGGUUUAGAGUUGAUGGACUGCAGUGUCUUCCUGUUUAUGAUGCGAGGACACACGUUUCCUCUCUCUUUAAUGAUUCGAGCUAAGUUUCAGCCACAGCCCUCUCUCAGUUGUUAUUUGAGCGAAGAGCAGCUCAAUCACAUUCUUCGGUGCUUUCCAUGAUGGAUGAGCCUCUCCUUCCCACCUCCGCCCCCAAAACUGCCCCUCCUGCAACCACGGCCUCCUAUCCCAGCUUCCUCCGGCGUCUCCGCAUCUUCCUUGUCCUCGCCGCCUGCGCCCUGUGGGCAAAUUACGAGGCCUCCAAGGGCUUCGACAUCACCGUCCUCCACGGCGCCUCGCGCAGCCCCGCCGCCCGCCGAUUCGGCCUGCUAUUCGUCUCCAACGGCCGAGCCGCCAGGCUCGUCCUCAGCUCCAGUGAUCUCGUUCAGCGCGUCCUCUACCCGGAUGAUUCGUUCCCUCGGAAGCCAGUGCGCCGGAUAACGCUUUUCUUGGCCGACGAAAACCUCAACGAGACCGUCGUGGUCAGCCACGGCCGCCACCCAGGCGAGUUCGUAGUCCAGAUGAGCCCGGCCGUCAUGAAGGCGACGGACGUGCAGAUGUCGGUGGCUUCCGCGCUGCAACGGGGCGUGGCUCGCGUCUGGCUCUGGGACGGGCGAGGCCAGGCGCCGAGACCGCUUCUUGACGCCAUGGUAGAGUACCUCACCACGCAGAACAACGCCAGUGCUACACUCCGCACCAAUUCCUGCUGCGCGGCGGGGGAGCAGCUGCGCGUAGCGCGCGUGAAUCGAGCCAUGCAGGAGGAGUGGGACGAUCGGAUGCUGGAGGAUGUAUGCGGCUCGCCUUCCGAAAAGGUCUGCUCGGCCUGCCUACCUCUUAUCGACCUCAGUACGUUCGCAAGGAACGUAGAUCCUGAUCAAGAUCCACAGACAUGAGCUUAUGAGUUAGUGUUAGCAGUGACAAUGGCCGAAUAAUUGAGGGGAAGCAGUAGUCAAUGCAUGACGCAGAAGCAAGUGGAGCCGACCGCUGAGCUACGAUCUAUGCAAGAUUAGGACUGCAUCUUGUACUACUUUUCUGUGAUCCUACAAUGGAUUCAGUCAGUACCAUGUCAUGCUUUGAAUCAGCGAAUGCAAGUAAUAGAUUAUGCAAUUAAUAGCCUAAUCAGUGAAUGCUGGAGGAUGCACACUUAGUUUCAUGUGGUUAGCGUCCAUUGCACUGCUCAAAAUGACCCAAUCGUACACAGUAAAACUUGCAUGGUGGAAAAGCUUCAGCUGCUCGAUGAAUGACGAGGACGGUUCUCAUUCUCUUUCAAGCAAACUGCUACUAGAUGUUGUGGCUCAAUGAGCUCCAUUGCCUCGUAGAUAGUUCUUGUGCAUGAGCGACAGGUCUCAUCAAUCAUGUAAUUAACAUGGAUGGGUCCCAAACUUGUCUGGUGUUUUGGGUCUCUUGCUGUUGACCGUAGCGUAGCAACACCAGAUUCCGGCGAGUAGAGCCACACGCAAAAAGCUUUCCCCUUUCUAAUUUGCAUGAGGAAUUCAAUACGUAAUAUCGACAUUACAGGAAUAGAAGACCGAGUUGUACAGGGAAUUCAAUACGAAGAGGACUUUUCCUAAGUACCAAAGGAAGACGAACAAUAGGAAUAGAUAUCAUAAAGGUUAAGCACUGACCGACAACAAGAAACGAGUUCUCCUUUGUAAUCCAUGGUAAUGCCAUUUGGCCAUUUACAUAUUAACCUCACAUCCAAUCUACGUCAAUAAUAAUAAUCAUCAUAGCUUUAUGAUUCCUGUGGGACAAAACUGGUCAGAGCCCAUCGACUAGUGGUCUUCCUCAAAUUGAGAUCAGUCACACACUGUGUUGGAUAUGCACGGAUUUCAUCUCUGAACGACGAAAUAAUUGGAUCUCGAGAUGGGAUUGGUGUUCGUCGUCCGACAGAUGCAGCUUUUCUUAAACACGGAUGCGAUGUCUGUGAUUAGAUGUGAAGUAAUUGGAAGUGUCUGCACUUUGUUCUCUUCUUCAUGUCCAGGAAACGUAAGUGGCCAUCAACCCACCAUGUCUGGUCUCUUUCUCUUUGCUCUCUCUCUCUCUCUCNNNNNNNNNNNNNNNNNNNNNNNNNNNNNNNNNNNNNNNNNNNNNNNNNNNNNNNNNNNNNNNNNNNNNNNNNNNNNNNNNNNNNNNNNNNNNNNNNNNNNNNNNNNNNNNNNNNNNNNNNNNNNNNNNNNNNNNNNNNNNNNNNNNNNNNNNNNNNNNNNNNNNNNNNNNNNNNNNNNNNNNNNNNNNNNNNNNNNNNNNNNNNNNNNNNNNNNNNNNNNNNNNNGUCGUCUUCUUCUUGUCUCUCUCUCUCUCUCUCUCUCCCUCUCUCUCUCUCUCUCUCUCUCCCUCUUAAAUCUCAUGGCAUCAUAAACGGCACACAGAGGCUCCUUACACAAGACAAGAUCUCAUAAAUCAACGGGCCCCACUUCCCUAGACGUAUUGGCCGACGACAGCUCCCAUACUUCAAUACGCUCGUCUCUAAGUACCUCGACUGUACGUAGUCGACAACGCACGUCGAGCCAUUCGCUGGUCAAGCUUUUCGAGGUGAUAAGAUCAUGGCGGUAAAUCUAUAGGACGUGAGAGUGAUUGGUUCAGAUUUUUGUUCCUGUUUCUGUUCUCUUGUUCAUGCAUUCUUACUAAGAUUACUACGGUUGUAGCGAAGCUUAUAUAUGUUGAUGUAACUCAUUAUUUUGCCGCACUCUUACGUCUGCAAUGGAGCAGCCUCUCCUUGCUUCUCCUCCUAACAUCGUCCCCAACUCUCGACCUCCUCCGGCCAAGUCCUCCAACCCUAACAUUCUCGUCGGCCUCACCAUAUUCCUUGUCGUCGCGGCCUUCUCUCUGUUGGCGAACUACGAGGCCGCCAAGGGCUUUCAGAUCGUCGUCGUCAAUGCCGCCUUGCACACCCACGCAGGCCGGCGCUUCGACCUCCUGUUCGUCUCCAACGACCGCGCCACCAGACUCGUCGUCGCCUCCAGCAAUCUUGUGCAGCGCAUCCUUUACCCGGACGAUUCGUUUCCCAGGAAGCCGGUGGACCGCGUGACACUUUACAUGGCCGGCGAAGACCUCGACAGCACGGUUGCAGUCCGCGGAGGACGCAGCGCGGGCGAGUUCGUCGUCCGGAUGAGCCCGGCCGUGAUGGAGGCGGCCGACGUCAAAGCGGCCGUGGCUGAGGCGGUGCAACGGGGCAUGGCGCGGGUCUGGCUAUGGGAUGGGCGAGGCGAGGCCCCGAGAUCGCUUCUUGACGCCAUGGCAGAGUGGGUUGCCAUGUCCUCCGGCAUGGCAUCUCCUUCCAUCAGGCCCCGCAACACCAGCGUAUCACCGUUCAAUGCUUCGUGCUGGGAGGACGACGACCACGUACGCCUGGCGAGCUUCUUGAAUUACUGCGACGCGAAGCACCAUGGAUUUGUAGCGCGCUUGAACAGAGCCAUGCAGGAUGAGUGGACCGAAGACACGUUCAACGUUACAUUGGGCUCAUCAGUUCCACAAAUCUGCUCCGCCUAUCUCUCGGCAGAACAAAUAUCUAGUAAGUAAACCUAAUGCUUCUUCUGAUGUAAGAGCUAAUAAGCUUACUAGUGUGCCACCUUUUACGUAGUAUGUACAUCAUCUCAACGAAUAACGAAGCCAUUCUAUCAACAGAUACACACAUACACAGAAAUGGCUUCCCACAGCACGUACUUUCAAUUUGCAUUAGUAAGUUCACAAUGACUCAGUAAGUUACGAACGCAUCAGCAGUCCUUUCCGAUUGAAUGCCUCACUGAUAGGACGUCCAGUUUUGUGAUAGAAUUCAUUGCUGAAUGAACAAUCGGUGCGUAACUCCGUCAUGUGAUUAUUGUACUGUAUGUGUCAGUAUAGCAUCUUCUCGCGCAGUUAAUGGGUUUUGUUGAGGCGUCGUCGUCGUCUGCCCACAAAGGUUUUGUAUCCAUCUCGUAGGUUGCUCGGGAGCCAUCCAUGGCACAUCAAGAACCAUGGUGGGCCUCGGAGCUUUGGGUGCUUCCAUUUGGAUAUGUGGCAUCUCAGUUGUCUCUCUCGUCCUCGCCGGGGUGAACAUCGAGAAGGCAAGGGUACGAACUGUGUGGUCUGAGCUUGAAAGCUUGAAAGUUUGUGAGCAUAUUUUCCUUGGGAUUCUGAUAGCGAGUUUUCUCACCGGAGAAGAAUGAGUUGUAGAUCUAAUGCGGCCUUCUUGAUUCGAAGUGGGAAAGGGGCAUCUGCAAUUAUCAGCAUCAGACAAAAGCAUUUGGCAUGACUAACUCCAACUUGUCAGUGAUGUUUUUGCUGCCUUCGGUUCUUCCAAACCUUCUAGGAUUUAAUUAUUAAGAGGACAGCGAGGAUUGAGAUAUUUCAGUACUUGGAGCAUAUGAUUUGGGAUCACCAAAGGGCGACGACAGCUACUCAUUAUUGGGGUUGGCGACGAAUACAAAUACUUUUAGCAGUCCAAAGUUUCCAAUAAAUCUUUAUUGCGUACUCUAAAGAAUGAAAGUAAGACAUUUCUCAAAAAAAUGUUAGGGUGGGAGAAAAAAAAUUCAAAUUUUAUGUAAAUUUAUUUUAUAUACUUAUAUAAGGAUAUUUUACCUAAAAACUACCGUCCUAAUUAGUUUUCACCUAAUGUGUUUUUUUUAUUAAUUUAACGAAAAUAUCUCUCUACCUUCCACUCCGACCAUCGUUGUCGUGGCCUCCUCUUUUUCUACUCCUCCUUUUCUUAUAUCAUCCAUCCUUUUAUAUUGUUUUUGUUUAACAUUAUCCAUUUUUACUGCUGUAUCGUAGCAACGACUACACUUUCACGAAUGUAUAAAAGGUAAUGUCUAUUCUUUAUCACAGUAUUUCAUUCAUCAUUAUUAGCAUUCUCUUUGUUCACCUAUGCUUAGCUCGCAUUACAUAAACGAUCGAAGGAGGGGGGAGAGUAUUGUUGCUCAUCGAUGACAUUAUAUAAAGAUUGACAUGGAAGGACGAACAAUGUUUACCACUUACACGAUCAAAGAUUUCUAACAAAGAAAAAAGAUAUAUUUUUAUUAAAAUAAAUUAAAAAAAUCAUAAUUAGGAGGCAUCAUAUGAUGAAAGUUCAGUCUCUCUCUCUCUCUCUCUCUCUCUCUCUCUCUAUAUAUAUAUAUAUAUAUAUAUAUAUAUAUUUGUGUAAAAUGCCGUAAAGAAAAGAAAGACCAUGUGGUUCGCACGGACGUACAUAAGUCACCUGGGUAUGCCUUUUUGGGCAGGUAUCAGGUAUCAUAUUGCGCCCAACCCUAGAAAUCGGAGGCGGAGGAAUCGAGCCGAUCUGUUAAUUCGCACCCCGGAAAUCCACAUGAACCCACAAAAUUAACCCCCCAAGCCCAAACCCUAAUCCGCCCCCUGCUGCUUCGUCCUCCUCGCACAGCAGAUUCAGAUUUGGGUUGGGUUAGGAUCUAUUGAUUGGGUUGUAAAUGACCUCCGCGCCCCAACAGUUGGAGGCCUCUGCCUCUCGGUCUCCUCGGCCACAACAGCAACAGCAAGCACGACCGCCACCGAGCGGCACGCUGACCUUCGACGAGAUCUCCAAGCUCUUCUCGCUUCCCAUCGCCGAGGCCGCCCCCGUCCUCGGUAACCACACCCGAACCCUCCUGAAGAUCCCCCGAUUCCCGCUUCUUAUUGUGAUUUGUUGUCUAUUUAUUGCUCUUGGCGGUUGGAUUUGGGAUCUGGCGGGUGGCUUUGUUUGUUUGGAUUUCUGUGUGUGCUCUUGAGGAACUCGGUUGUGGUGCACUUUACCCUUCAUUAGAAUGCAUGGAUUUGGGCUUUGGUUUUUCCUCUUCGAUCUUCUCAUCCCUGGACUUCAUUAGAGUGAGGGUGGUUCUCAUUCUCUUUCAAGCAUACUGUUACUAUUGUGGCUCAACAUAGAACUAUGAAAUUAGCACAAAGAAAAAUUAAAUUUCACCUUGGGAACACUAAUGGAAACCAGAAAGCGCAAAAUGUACAACUUGCAGUAGACAAGGCUUUGGCAGAUUUGUUGUUCAAGCUUGGGCUGAUACUGAUACCUGAAGUCUGGAGAUAAGAAUUCGAUAACUUGCUACUGACUUGUUGUUCCAAAUGGUAUAGAGGCCACUUGUCGUUCGUUAGAUUUUUCUCUUGGUUGAAUAAAAUUGUGUUUACAUGUCAUGGCUGAGCAUUUAUUUUGGUCGGUUACUGCAUUCCAUUUAUCUGCAGUUACGUAUGUGAUUAAGCAUCAGGUUUAAUUUAAUAAAUAUGAAAAGCUUGAAUAUAGAAGUUAAAAGGAAUCAUAUGGAUUGGACAACAUAGAGUGAUAGAGAUUGCGUAGGCAUGGAAUUACGAAUCAGGAGUGUAUAUUUUCACGAGGAUUGAACAUUUACCAUAUUCUACAAUUUCUAGAAUUCAGUGUACUAUUUGAUGGGGAAAAGCUGUGUAGCAUGAAAGCGGCAAGAUGGUAUGAUGAAGGAACAUCAUUCAGGACUUGAUUAAUCAGUUCUGAUAUUUAUGUGAAGGAUAGAAAGCUUAUUAGCAAGCAGCUUGCUGUUUCCUUAUAAUUUAAACUGGGAAGCAAGAAAUCGGAUGUAGCAACAUUCAUUUAGGCAAGCAGUUGUGAUGUACAUUACAGAUCAAUCUUUGACAAUAAUAGCAAAGUUGCAAUCACUAAACUGGAAGAAAUUAGAUGAAGGAAAUCUACUGCAGGGUAGGUAGGACUAUAAACACAUCAAUAACAGAAAUAUUAAACAAUAAAAGCAGCAGCAGCAGCAGCGAUGAAGAAUAUACAAAGAAAUAAGAUAAUUCAUGGAGUGACAAGAGAGAAAUUGGAUCACCACUUUUCUUAAAAGAUAAGUCACAUACAUAGAGCCAUGGUCCACUCCAUUAUUUUGGGAAUUAAUAGCUAUAGCCUAAUACAUAGAGUCAUUAACUACUCCAUCCAAAAGUAUGUCACAUAGAGCCAUCAGCUACUUCAUUCUUUAGAUCUCAUAACUGGUCCAAUAUAAAUCCUUCUAAGUUCAACAUUUUAAGGCUUUCUAUUUUACUUUCUGUUACAUUUUUUAUAUUUAAAAUCAGGCUUCAAAUGUAAUUAUACAAUUUCCAUCUGACAGUUGCGAAUGCUGCUUUAUAGGAGUCUGUACAAGUGUCUUGAAGAAGAUAUGUCGCGACUAUGGCAUUGUAAGGUGGCCAUAUCGAAAGGUAGGUUGCUGAUUUAAGUUUUCUCAUUAGUUUCGUGGUGGUUAUCUCAAGAAAUGUUUCAUUAUCAAUGGAAUACAUAAACUCUUCUCAUCCAUCUUUUUGGCAUAUACAGAAACUGAUCAAUGAAAAAAAAAAGUUGAUUUUGAAAUUGUGUAAUAGCAAUGUAACUGUUGCAUAUAAAGCUUUCUAAAAACACAAAAUUUUUUUUCUUAAGUUCAUUUCGUGAGAUGUUCUUUAUUUGUUCCAUCCAGUUGAACGUAACCUUUUAGAGAUUUAUAAUCUUUUAGUAGCAGUUUGGUGUCUGUUAUAAUUUUCAUAGAGUUCAAUGGCAAAUAUGGUCAUAAGCCUUUCUUUUCUUUUCCAUUUAUUUCCCUCUACAUCUUUCUUUCUUUUUCUCCUUGACCUCUAUAUCCGCUAAGACUAUCCAUGUUCUGCGGUGACUGUGCUUUCUUUUUUUCCCUUUUCUGCAGUAGAUGAAGAUUUUCUGUUAGAUUGUUGAAUUAAAGAGCCUUGCACAAUUUCUCAGAUGUUCAUUCCAAACAAAGUUGUUAUAUUUUGCAAUGGUUUUUACAAUUUUAUUACAAUGAGCUGGAAUGAUGCAUGCCAAUUUUAUUACAUGACUUUAUAUCAUGUAGAAAAAUCACAUUACAAAAUCUAAAAUUCUUUCAUGUCCUUCAGAUGUUACAUUCUCUUUAAUUCACAACAGAUAAGUGCUCGAUCCAUCUCCAGUUACAAUGGAAAUGAUGGUUGCUUUUUAUCAACUUAUCUAGUCAAACUGACAGUACCUAUGUGAUUGUAUUGUUUUGGAAACUGUUCCACCUUGCGUUUUACAUUUUAACAUCUGUGCUGAAUGAUCUUUUGCUAACAUAAUUAUCUAUCAUUUUGGUUAUCAUAUUUGGUAUUUAUUUAUAAAGCAUUCUAGAAGAAAUAAUUAGGAAUUUGGUCUUGUUUUUAGCAACUUUGUUGUGUUGUUCUGUUCUUCGUAGAAAUGUAUCUUCAAUUGUGAAAAUUAAAAUGGUCAUGUUGUUUUAGUAUCUUGCUGGGAAGACUGUAGAAGAUAUUAGAAGAGAUAUUGCUAAGGAGAGAAGUAAGGAGCUAGCUGAUUUAUCGAAGACUAACCAAAAGAAUGAUGUGUCCAAUGUGAUGUCAUCGCCAGUUGGUUCCUUAUCAGCUUUGUGAGUAUACUUACUUUUCUUGUUCAGUGAAAAGUAUAAUGCAUCUCCAUCCAUAUCUUUGUCUUCUAAUUUAUCAUGCUUUAUUAGGUAUGGCUUUUUUUUAGUGUAAACUUCAUCAAAUAUUAUCUUAAACACAAUCUUGUCCAUGUAAAUGUCUUGCCAUGAGUAUUUAUUUCAACUUCACAGGCAGUUGUUCUGCAGGAUUCUUACUCGAUGCAUGCUUAGGAAGGCAUGAGUUCUCAACUAAUCUGCAGCUAGUAUUUGCUACUUGAUAGAAUUACUUGGAGAAAACAUUUAACCCGUGUGUAUGAAUGUUAUGCUUGUAGGCUAUUCUUCAAAUUGUUGCAAAAAAUGUGCCCUCUUGGAUGAGUUUGCAAGGAAAAUAUGCCAAAUGAUCAUCCUAUAACUAUGUGAACAGUUUUAUCCAUUUUGACUUCGGGGUGAUAGUGAAUCAAGUCUUUAUAAAAAUGCUAAUCGCCAAAUUGAUAGGACAAAGUUUUGGCUCUGUUAUUGUGACUCACCUAUUGCUGGAACUUAUCUUAUUUUAUCAAUAAUCACAUUUCUCGUCUAAUGAUCUUAUUUUGUCAAUUUUAGUCUUAGCAGUUUUAAGUUAUCGCAAGGAGCACGUAGGACAUUUGACUGGUUAAAAUUAAAAUUGAUGCCAUCUCUUUCAUUAUAUUGCUUAUUGCAUGGCCUGAACUUUAUAUGAAACUCUUGUGACCAAGUUUCUGCUAAUUAUUGUCUCUAGAUGCAUUGAGGAAACCGAUUGACCUCUGAUCCUUACAAACAAAUAUGGCAAUUUUGUCUUCAGUUAAUAAUCAUGGAAGUAUUUACUAGCAACUACAGAAAAAAAUAAUGUCAUCUUGUAUCUUUGUAGAUUACAAUGUUUACUACUUGGGGUGUUUGGAGUGCCUAUUUAGAUUUUCCAUGCCUUUAAUGUUUGCUAUUUAUUUAGCUUGUAUCUAGUUAGAAAUGUUUGUAUGCAAUAGGAUGUGGCCUUAAUUUUUCAUGCCCUUAAUUUUUUUUUUUUUUUUUUUUUCCGUACGAGUAUCAUCAAAACCUAACUAAAUUGUAACCAGUAACCUGCAACACUAGCUUUAGCGUAUAACACCCAGGUCAUGGUUUUCAGGUCACCAUGACUAAUUAGAAAAUCAUAUUUUAGUAUGUGCAUAAGGAAUUUUGUUAUAAAUACAGUACUUAUUCCUUGCGGAAUGAUACAGAAAUAAUGUGAAUCAUCCUAUUCUGUGAAAAGAGGGGCUCGAUGACCUAAGCUGAACUGCUUUGAUGUAGAGAAUUAUUACUGGAAGAAGAAUAUUCUUUUUCUAUUAUUUUUUGAACUGAAUAGAUCUAUCUUUCUGCAAUAGGAUAUAACUCUCAAUUUUCUUGUCUUUUAUUUGUUCUUUUUUUUUUUUUGUAAACAGAUAUUUCUGCUGCUAUUCUAGAUGCACCACGAUUUGAUGAUCACUAAUGAAACUUGAAUUCAUAUACAAGAUAAUGUUUGUUGGGUUGAACAUGUCUCAUGUUUUUGCAAUAUUGGAGGCAUUAUGAAGCAUGAAUUCAUAUACUAAGAUAAUAUUUCUAGAGUCGAACAUGUCUCAUGCUUUUGCCAUAUUUGGAGGCGGCAUGUUGGAGGUACACACAACUUGGCGAGGAGCCCCUACUUGUGCUCCAGACCUUAAAAAACCAAGAAUGUCAGCUAUAUUUCAAUAAAAAAGUGAACCAACGUUAUUUCUAGAGGGAUUUCUGAGGUCUGAAAAGCACGCAGAGAAGGCAAACAUAUUAACACAUCAGCUUUCUCCUAUAUGGAAAAUUUGUUGAAUCUGUGUUCAUCAUUAACUUAUAUUAAUGACACUACAAGAAGCAGAAAAAUUAGCCGUCAUCUGUGCAGUUCAAACAUGGUCUUCUUUAGUUAUUUGAUAGAUAAUUUGCACUUUAUUUGUGAAUACAUACGUCAGUGGUUUGUCGAUGCUGGACGUCAUAGUGUAGGUUCUUAUGCAAGUAACAAUUUAAUUCUUUGCUUGCUCCUAUAAGCCUUGCCUAAUGCAAUUUUUUUGAAUUUUGAAACAGAACACCGAACCCUGCUCAAGAAUCUUCCAAAAUGCAGAGAGUUUCCAUGCCAGGGCAUGUUUCGCAACUGCAAGGAAGUAGGUUUACUCAAAACGGAUGGCCAAAUGUGCUCCAUCAAAACCAAUCAAAAAACAUCCCUACGUUCAUGGACGAUUUCAAAUAUGGUUUUCCAGAAAAUGGUCUAUCGUCAACUUCAUUCAAAUGGUGGGGAAUCAGCAGGCUAGAAGAAACCGAAAGGACCGUGCCAGGAGAAGGAGAAACUACGACCGAGAAGGAUGACAAUCAAGAGGUACAGGACUCAUCAAAUGAAGGCGAAGAACCUGAUUCUGGUGCAGAGGACAAUGUUAUCGUAACCAAGCCAUCUGCUUUGCUGUGCUCUCUGAGAAGAAAAUCUGUUGAAUAUGGGCGCGAGUCACUCAAGAGAGGGAUUUCGGUUGCCGGAAUACCCAACAAACUCACGAAGAGGCAGAAGCUAACAUUAUCCCAAGUAUUUGGGUCAUCUUUACCAGAGGAAUGGAAGGAAAACUUCUCGUGAUCCUUCUUCACUGAGUAAUUUAAUUUCCAUGACCAAAUGACAGGAGUCUGUUCUCGACUAGGCAUCGGAAAGACGAUACUUUAUUAUCAAACUCGAUCGUUUUCUAAUCCUAACUGCAGUUUCCUUGUCACAACCUCGAGUGUUUUUUGCCUGUCAUCUUCUUGUACAUCCUAGUUUGUCUUCCUUCUUGGUGAGAAGGUUAUCGCUUCAUCUAUCUUCAGCUUCAUGGAAUGGCAAUGAGAAAAUCUGAAAUAAGAUAAUAUUGCAUGUCGAAUUAAAAUCCUUUGCUCAAAUCUGCUGCUUGUAGCUGAGCAUUAUAAUUAUAACUUAAUUGGUGUGCUUAUGAUACAUAUUCAUGAUCGAGAAAUAUUUUACCGAAGGGCAUCAGAUAAAAGUUAAUGCAAACUACAUAUUCUAGUGUUUUGUACAUCUCGGUCCUCUCAGAUCACAUGCGAACUGUCGCAUUCCAACACAGCCCGAACGAGCUCGUUCCACAGUGAGACUCGCACGCUUCUUGAUGGUGAUCCAGCUCAGGAUUGCUUGGCCUGAAGCGAAGCUGUCGGUGCCCGUGUUCUGUACGUGCCACCCAUUCCGUCCUUCGAAUUCAUGUAGGCAACAGUGCGAAGCUUGUCUUCAGGUGGAUCAUACUAGAUUUAUAGUACUGAAUCAUGAGAUAAAUUCCUAUGUUUCGCUCCUCAUGAUGAGUAGGAUUUCAAGUGCAGGAGCGCUCGAAGGUGAUCUUUUUUUUUUUGUUUGUUUACUUGGAUGAUAAAGACUCGAGCUUAGCUUACUGGGCACGAAUGAAUGAAUGGAUUAUUUAGUCGAAUAGGCAGCUUUGCAUCACGCUUUUGUCGAGUCACUUAGUAAAACCUUGUGCAGUGUAUGUCCCCAUCUUUCUUCCACGUGAAAGCUGCAACCCUUGCAGACGAACUCUUUGAAUCCCACAUGACAUCCAUACCUCCGGUAGAAAACUUCUAAAUGCAUGCAGAGUUCGAUUGUGGAAGAAAUGCUGCAAGAUGUGCUACAUUUAUCCUGGAAUCAAUUAAAGGUUUCUCUAAUAGCAAGACAACAACAAAUUCUCACUACAACCAACCAGAAUCAGAUCCAUCAUAACAAUGCAGAAAGCCACUCUUCGGUGUUGUCUUCUUGGUUGGGGUUCAGGCAUAACCGCAGCUCCCAUAACCUGCAAAAGGUAAGAGAGAACAAAUGUGUGUGAGAUCUACAUGGGUGUCGUUCGAAUGGGGCACAUGAUCGGAGAUCUCACUUGGGUCGGUGGCGACCACGAGGCCGGAGUUCUUGAAGAAGCAGUUCCACGGGUUCCUUCCUCUGGACUGGUAGUAGAGGUUCAUGGCGAUGGAAGCGUGGGACAUGAGGUUGUCCGGGUAGAAGCACGUGCGGCCCCUCUGCAGCACGCUACAGUCCACCUGAGAGCAGGCGUAGUUGAUGUUUCCCAGAAGAGUUGCUUCGUCCGACGAAGGUUUCGCUACGCACCAAGUUUUCUGCAACAAAGCAACGACAACGUCUGCAUCGACUUCCAUGACAUGGGGUGGAAUGGACAAGACGAGCACAGUUCGGGAAGCAAAAUGCCGAACAACUACAGUUAGUGAGGCGCAUAAUUAGGUCCGUCGGUGUUACCUGCCCCUGCACCGACUGCAUUCCCCCUGUCAUCACAAGGUUUAGAGCAGAGAUCAGAAGAAGAUGGCGACAAACAGCGGCUAAGGGAUCAAGCAAGUCACGAGCUAACCUGUGGCGAAGCAGAUCAGGAGCAGCACAAAAGAGAGGAAGACGAAGGAGGGAGUUCUCGCGGCUCCUCUUGCCAUUUCUCUACCCCUUCUGUUUGCUGGCCGUAGGAGGAGGGAGGAGAUCGAACCUGGUCGUCUUCUUCAGCGUGGAAGCGAGACCGAGAGCGAGCUGUCGAUGAUGGGGGAUAAGAAAGCAAGCUCCCUGACCGGGCCCGGAGUGGGACCCGGUCAGAAACAUGUUAUUAGAGACCUACGAGUCGCGCAUACUCCACGUGGCCUACGUGUCGGUGGCCGCGCUGGUUUGGAUUCUCGGGCGAGCCCGACAAGAUUGCGAAAAGUGGGCCCCAGAGAAACGCCUCGUGACACGAUUUGGGUCCCGAUUCCGUCGCAUCUCCGAUGGCACCUCAGCUUAACGGACCUUUUCGCCUCUCUUCCCUCCGGCGAGCCACAGUGCAACCAAAAAGGAGGGACCGACUCUACUUUUUGCCCUUUGGGUCUCCUCAACGCUGUGAAGAGAACGAUGCUUCUUGUUCUGCGUACAUCACUGCUUUUCCAGCAUUCAUCUCUUCACAUGCCAUCACGUUGCCCUUCCACGGACCGUCCCGUGUUUCCUAGCCUUUGUCACGGUUCAUCCCCAGACAUUUCUGUGUGCCAUGUGAAUGUUCUCUGGUGCAGCAAAUUGCUGCAUUGGCUACUGAUAUCAUGUGCAGACAUUGCAAUCCUGAUAUCAUGGAAUCCACUGCCAAUCUAUACCUUGGUUCAUCAAUACGUACCCAAAUUUGUUGAACUGUCCCACAUGAGCAUGAAGAACACGAAAAUAAAUUAAUACACUUUUAAGAUUGCCAAAUCCACUUGCAUUUGAUUACAUCAUUAGUUCAAUGAACCAGUCUGAUAUACGAUUCUAUAGAAACGCAGAUGUCCGAAUAGUACAACAGAAAGUUUGAUCAUCAUGAGCAACCAUAUAGGUAGGUAAUUUCUUCAGAAGAACGAGGAACCAACUUAGGCGGAAACCUAAGACCCAAAUCUUUCUCUGUCGUGCGGAGAAGAAUAAUCUACACCGGGACCAACUGGAAUUAUCCCAAACGGAUUGAUAGAAGGAUGGCUUCCGUAGUAGUGCUUCUUUAUGUGUGCCAUAUUCACCGUGCUGCUCAUGCCUGGAAUUUGGUAUAUGUCUUUGGUGUAAUUGAACAAAUUUGGAUAUUCACGCAAUUGUUUUUUGUUGCACUUGAAAUGAACAGUAUAGACCUGUGGAAAUCACAUAUAGUUCAGUGAUCGAGUGGGCAUCCGAAAUAACAUACUAUAGUCUAAUGGCCUAAUUUGAUGAUGCUUUUUAAAAGUACAGUCGAUAGGUUGAAAACCAGAAAUCUAUCGAUACCAGUCAUAAACUAGUUUACAGAUACGAGAAACACGGAAGCAUAGUCAAUAUUUAUCCAGAUUCCAAUGCAAAUAAUAAAGCACCUUAGUAGACAUUUAAGACAUCAGAUUCAACAGUAUCUUAAUAAAAACAAAAGUGUCUUCCCCUGUGAUUAGAGCAACCUAUUGAAUCAGAACAUAAAUGUUUUGUUGAGGGUGUGCUUACAAUUCAAUCUAACUAUAAUUGGGGAAGAGAUGGCACUAGCCAUUCCACCAAAAGUUACCAGAUGAAGUUUCAUCUGUAGUUUCAAUGGUGUGAAAUUCAGAUGUGCCACUAAAGGUCUCACAUUGUCUUGUUUUUUAAUUUUUAUUGGUUUCAUGGCAAACAUAGCAAAGCUCCUUCCACCCUUCCUUGGUCCCAGAUAUCUUUGAACCCUUAGAUUUCCAUUUUGUCUCUUGUUAUGAGCCUAAAAGAUUUUCCUUUUUCGAGAUGGGUAUGCAAAUCACAUUGAUUAACACUGGGCCAAACAGAAUGGUUGUGGACAGGCAUUUACAAGAGCUCAGAUAGAUGUCUGUUCUGCUCAUAACUUUCUGAUAGAUGGAACAUUAGCAUACAAACAUGAUGAAUCAGACUAACAUUCUUUUGGUUUCUAAAGGUUAAGCAGAAUUAGUUGUAGUCCAGCUCAUUAAGGCCACAGGCCGCUAAGGUUCAUCCAUAUGUAUGGCCUUUGCCAAUAAGCUAAAUUCAAAUUUCCAAUUAGAAAAAGGAAUAUCAUUUUUUCCACCCAAAUGAGAAACAGCCACCUCCAUGGGUUAAUACUUUGAAGCCAGUGCAGAUAUUAUGGUUAAAACAAAUCAAACAGAUUUAGUCCUGUCUUCCUCACUGGUCAGUGUCAAGGUCACAUGGUUACAUCUUACUCCGGCUAAAAUUAAGUUUCUGACUAGUUAUAUCAUCUUAAAACUUGCUUUUGUCAAAUGCAUAGGACACUGCCUCAAAAUAUUCUCUUAAACAAGUCUUGCAAAACAAUCUGUGCACUGUACAAACAUCAAAAUAGGAACAAUCAGAUGCCUAAAGCAAUCAUUUGCUCACACAAAAAUCUUAUUUUGCAUAUUGAAUUCCAUAAAUUAUACACAAUUGAUUGUAUAUUCUAACAAAAAUAAACCGGAAAAAAGACAAAGCAUCAGCUCACUUUUCAUGAUGUUAGGCUGUGUUAAAUUUUGAGGUACAUACCUCAUCGAACCUGAUGAGAGUGACAAACAAGCGAACGUCAGCUUCAGUUAGCGUAUUCCCACAAAUAUAUCGUUGCUUGCUGAGAGUCUCUUCACAUUUGUCCAAAGCAUCAAAUAAUUUUUCAACGGCCUAGACAACCAGAAAGUAGUGAAAAGGCUGUUUUCAUGAUUUAAAGAUUGAUAGUCAUAUAAUCCACUUCAAGUGAAGGAAAAAAAAAAAUCAGUUGUAGUAGAUAGUUACCUCGUCAUAAGGACCUUGUUUCUUGGCAAAGCCACAUUUGUAUACCCCAUUAUUUAUCGUGUCAUAUAUCCAUUCGUUGACCUCAUCUAUCAAAGCUUGCAUAUGAGAUGGAUAUAAAUCCAGGUCUGCAUUCUCAGCUAUAUCGUUAAACUCGGUGUUGAACAUACGGAUUAUUUCUGCACUCUCAUUGCUCACAAUUGUUUUAAGUUUUUUAUCCCACAGAACCUGCCAAAUAAGAUAAAGCGAAAGGAAGGUCACUUGUUGAGUACACUGAAAGAAAAAAAAAAAAAGUAUAGUUCAAUAGACAGAAUACAUACAGGCACCGUAUAUUUCCCCAUAUAGUUUGAGCUAGCCAGCUCAUAUAAUUCCCUAAUACUUUUGGCUCCAUUCAAGGGAUCAGGUUCAGCUCCAGGUUCUUCUGUACUAGAAGGGAAAACCCAUCCAAAAUGUUCAUCGCUCUCCUUUGUCCUUUCCCAUAUUGGUUUGACAGCCUAUCAGAUGCAAUUGCUCAAAUGUUAUUAUAUAUUUUCCUAAGAUAAACAUUCCUCGGAUAUAGAGAGUCACCGUGUAACUGAUGGCCUUGUCAAGUCCUUUGAGCUUCACAAAUGAAAGACAUCUUGAUGCCCAAGGACAUGCAUAUGAUAUAUACAAGUGAUACCUUCCAGAUUCUGCAGGAAAUUGAGAAGUCUUGUCUUUUGAAAUAAAAUUGCGGAAAGUUGAUGGUGUGCGAUUGAAUGCACCAGAUUCUGUCAUCUCAUCUAAUGCUGAUCGAGCCAUCUUAAGAAUGUAAUGAAAGACAUAAUAUGGUCAAACAAGAAGUGGAAGAAUGUCGAAGAAUAAAAACCUCAUCCAGUAUACAAAAGUGUAACGAAAGUGAGAUGAGAGAAAAUAUUGACAUGUACAUCAAUCAGAAGUUGAUAGGAAAGCAUUAUAGGAUUUGUGAAGAGAAAAUAUUGACAUGUACAUUAUCCAGGAGUUACGGGUGCUGUCAAACCUUGAUAUAAAUAAAAAACAUAGCCCUAACUUUCACAAGGUUGCUUCGUAUUAGUAACUUACAUCCCAGCCAGCAAAACCCAACUAACACAGAAUGUGGUGUGUCAGGAUGCCUUCAGAAUGACAAUACACACUAUCUUAAUGAGACAGUUGCAAGAUGCUGAGAUGAGGCCCAGCACUCAAAACAUUCUGAUGAAUAAGAAGCAAAUAAUAGAGGUUCACAUUACAAUCUACUGCAUCUAUAUUUCAAGAGUUCUAUUACAAUUUUCAGGAGAUGCUUGAAAUUUAGUCUUAUUUAGUAGCUUUCUAUUGUUAAGUUGUAAAAAAAUUGAGUUAACUUUUAGAUGGCUUUUGGGUGGUAAAGUCAUGUCUGGACAUAAGACAACCCAAGUUAGAUAUGAAUUUGAAACACUAGAAAACAAAAAGACCUAUUUUUAUUAGUCGACACAUUUUGGUUAUGUAUACUUCUCGCACUUGAUCCCUGUUUAUUCCAAUUAUUGUAUAGUGUUGAAAAACAGGGUUCCAUACUAUAGACUUCCACCAAAUGGCACGGCACGUCAAAACACAACCAGAACAUAAGACACUGGGUCUGUAUCACAUAACCUUUCUCUAGCACUUGCAUUUACAUGUGGGAGAACAACCGCAAGGAUUUUAACUAUGAAAAGACCUCCCACAUAGCAAUGUCAACAACUCAAACUCAUAAUAUCCAAUGAAUUAAAAGCAAAACCCCUCGAAAGUAUAUUUUCUGCUUCAAGUUAGAUUGAUUAUAUGUUAUUACUUUAUCCAUCACAAUUAGGCAUAUAAACCUUAAUAGUAAUGAAUAUCCAUAGUGGAAGCAAAAUACAGAGAUGCUGCAGCAUUGUGCUGCUUCUACAAUUGGAAUUUUGAAAGAUGCCUCAGUGAUAGUAGCAAUACUCAAUAGAUGCUAGGCGUAAGGAAAGAAUUCUAAACCAUUUUAAGGCAUGAAAUCUAACUCAGUUUUUAGGGGUCUUUGUUCCCGUUCUAUGUUUGCAUAUAAAACAUAGAAUAAUUGCACUACUGAAAGUAAAUUUCUUGUUUGUAAUCUUUCCUUGAGCCAAUUGGAAAUUGUGAUAAGGAACGAUUUUACAUGAUGAUUGGUCUUGAUCAAAUGGAUCAGAGCACAUCAGAAAUUUAGUUGUUUAGUCUCGUUUUCUUGAACCCUCCCCUUCGUGUUCCAGCCUUUGCCCUUUUAAAACGAGCUUGUUCAAAUGAUCCCACUUGAAAAUCCUUUUACUCGAAUCCAUCGGCUAUUUGCUCAUCAUCUCCUUCUUCCACGAAUUCCAAAAUCAAGAGGACCCGUAUCACUCUAUACGAGUAAUCAACAUGGGCCAUCUGCCACAACGACUACAUAUGCCUCGACAAUUACCCUAAAUACCAACUUUCUAUACGAAUAAUAUGAAGGUCAUCUACAAAUCAAGAUCCAUAGAAGAUGAGAAAACAGUAACUUACACAUGUUAGUUCCAAUGGGAGAUUAGUAAGCAAGUAACGCUAGUAAAUUGGCAGGACGCAAUCGCUCAUACAAGCGGGAAAGAAGGGAUCUAAAUCGCACCUUGGAGGAGAAGGAUCGGGUGACGAUGAAGCGAGAACAGGACGAGAUCAUGCAAAGCCCCCCGACGCUGUCAUAAAUCUGUGGAACGGGAAAGUAGAAGAAACCUAAUCUUUCCACUGAUGGAGCGAGGGCGGCGACCGGGAUUGGUGCGUGACGUGGCGGUUGCCCAGCUCCAUCGCCGCCAGGUUGACUACCGGCGGUACGUGAUUCAACUGCUGCACGGCACGUCAUGGCAUAGCAUAGCGGAUCCAAAUCCUCUCCAAUUCUUACCCGUUAUGAACCCUCCGCUAUCGUCUAUAUCCGUGCUCAGCUGGUCACUUCCGCUGUCUAGGUUGAGGCAGGGAACAGUUUUAUCAGCCAUCAGCCAUCCGUCAAUCGUCAUCUUAUCGUUAAGUGCUGCGAACCGUGAUCCCUGGUCGCGACAGGUAAGCCUCAUCCCGUCAGACACAAAACCCAGGGCUACUUCAAACGCGACAUAAGUCACCGCUUCAAUCGCAACCGUUGAUGUGCCCGGCAAGUGGUGCGUGGUAAGGUCCGUCGGCUUCUCUGUGUGAGCCGCGACUUAGGUUUGUCAGAAAGGUCCUGUUUUGACUCGUGCCGGUGAGUUCUCCUUUGAUUGCGUUUAGCCGCAGAUGGGAGAGGCGUUCCGAAUCCCCCGCUAUCCUCUCCGCCUUCCAGCCGUCAAUCGGGUGGCUCAUGGAAGCUCCCUCUUAUGCAGAAAUGUCAUCUGCGUGGAGGUCUUGAAUUGGAUGCCUGUAUCUUUUUGUUUAUCUCACAAAACUAAGCUAUACAAACCACUGAGCUCUUGAGAACGUCCAAAAAAAAGAAAUUGAUCUUUUUACAGCUUGACAGUUCCUCCCAAAAAGAAAAGCUUCCUCAUCCAUAUUGAAAGUCGAUUCAGAUGUUGAUUGAUUUAUAAGAGUUAUUAAUUUGAGUUUGAGCAUUUUUAACUGUGCACGUUGUAGAUGGAUGUAUCAAAGUUUUGUACACGGAUGUAUAAACUUUGAUAGUGUUCAUUCACACAGUGUUUGAGGGAUACUGUGGGGAAAAUAAUAUCUCAACAUCUAAAUUGGAGAUAUAGUCAACAUAAAAUAAAAGAAAGAUAAAAUCGAUCGGAUUGCUACUCUGCCAAGAUGACGUUUCCACCAUUUUUAUUGGACCAGAGCAAGACCACAUCAUCUAAUUCAAGAUUUCUAGUUGCAUCUGGAAGCUUCUUCGCCCUUUGGCAGCGAGAACAGAUGUGUGGUAGCAAACCUCGGAGACACUGCGACCACCGAAAUCGACACAAGAUCCAACGAGUAUCUCACUCUAAGUUGUGGAUGAUGGACUGCCAGACGCUGGAACUCAUCCGCCACCUGAAACUUCAGUAGCCAAUCAAAACCAAGAUAAAGAUUUCCAUGGAUAAGGACUCCCAUCCCCUCUUCUGCUAUUAAACCCCUGCAGCCAUCACCUCUCACAGCAGGCACUCCUCCAAGGCUUUUCCUUCUACUUCACCACCCUCUCCCUGAUCCAACCAUGGCUGCCACAAUGGCCCUCUCCUCCCCCUCCCUCGCUGGUAAGGCCGUCAAGCUCGCUCCCUCGGCCUCCGACAUCCUCGGCGAAGGCCGCAUCACCAUGCGCAAGAGUGCCGCCAGGUCCAAGCCCGUCUCCUCCGGCAGCCCCUGGUACGGCCCCGACCGCGUCAAGUACCUCGGCCCCUUCUCCGGCGAGCCCCCCUCCUACCUGACCGGUGAGUUCCCUGGCGACUACGGCUGGGACACCGCCGGCCUCUCCGCCGACCCCGAGACCUUCGCCAAGAACCGGGAGCUGGAGGUCAUCCACUGCCGCUGGGCCAUGCUCGGCGCCCUCGGCUGCGUCUUCCCCGAGCUCCUCGCCCGCAACGGCGUCAAGUUCGGCGAGGCCGUCUGGUUCAAGGCCGGCGCGCAGAUCUUUAGCGAGGGCGGCUUGGACUACCUCGGCAACCCCAGCCUGAUCCACGCCCAGAGCAUCCUCGCCAUCUGGGCCUGCCAGGUCAUUCUGAUGGGCGCCGUCGAGGGCUACCGUAUCGCCGGUGGCCCGCUCGGCGAGGUGACCGACCCCCUCUACCCCGGCGGCAGCUUCGACCCCCUCGGCCUCGCCGACGACCCGGAGGCGUUCGCAGAGCUCAAGGUGAAGGAGAUCAAGAACGGAAGGCUGGCCAUGUUCUCCAUGUUCGGGUUCUUCGUGCAGGCCAUCGUCACAGGGAAGGGGCCGCUGGAGAACCUGGCGGACCACCUGGCGGAUCCGGUGAACAACAACGCUUGGGCCUACGCCACCAACUUUGUCCCCGGGAAGUGAGAGGACAUGCAUGCUUCAG